UCGAAAUUGACGAGACGAAUCUUUUGAGUCUAAUUAGUCCAUGAUUGGACAAUAUUUGUCAAAUACAAACGAAAGUGCUACAGUGUUGAUUUUGUAAAAUUUUUUGGAACUAGAAAGAAAUGUGGAAGGAAGGAAAACCCAGUGCGCAUCCUGAUUUUUUAUUAUAUAUUUUUUGAAAUGAUUAUUUCUAGAAAAUAUUUCCAAAGUUCACUACUUUACUUGAUCUCUGCGACCAAAGUAGAUUUGUAGGGCAGAGGAGAAGUAAUGUGUAUGGUGUCGUCACUAUUAUGACGUGGGCACGUCACAUGUAUUGAGGCCCACAAGUGAAUCGAUGGUGUCGAGUGAGAAAUACUCCAAUUCUACCGAGUUGUCUUAAAUCAAACUUCUAAAAUUUUAACUAAAUUUCUAAAAAAAUACUAAAAUUUAUAGUACCAAAUUAAUAUUAUUAGAUUUAUCAUAGAAUAUAUUUUCAUAAGAUACUCAUUUUAUGUCAUAGAUAUUGAUGCUCUUUUCUAUAAAGUUGGUCAAACUUAAAAAAGUUUGACUCACACGGAUUCUAGGAGUUAAAACUUUUAGGAACUGAAGAAAUAUAAUAAUAGAAUCACAAAAAAAGAGGAAACAUAAUAAUAUAGUAGUAUAUUCUUUAGGACAAAUUAUGUUGAAAUACAAAAGACAUAUAUACCUGCAUUUUAUUUUCCUAACCAGACACUACCAUCAACAUAAUUAUAGAGAUUGUCAAUAAAUAGCAAGUAACUAUAGAAUACCUACAAAAUUGUGCUACUAUGUAACACAAAACUAUCUCCUCUAUUUAAAAUCCCUUAUAUUUGGAUACAAAUUUUGAAUGCUCAAAUAUAUUAUAUUAUAGGACAGAUGGGAGUAAGAAAAAUUACGGGCGUAUCAUUUAGUUUGCUAUCCAUAUGGAUCAUGUCAGUUAAGAAAAGGAAAAUUUAGUUUCCUGAUCACUAAAUAGAUACAAAUAGGUGCAAAUUCCGACAUCACCAAAGCCCACUUCGUUCUCUCGCUCUCCUCGCGGCGCUUAUUUGGGUGAGUGUCAGAUAUGAGGACCUUUUUUAGACUGUCUUCAAGAGGGUACCCAAGUAGCGACCCAAACCCAUUUUGGGUCUUGCACAGGCAAAACACGGCAUCCAACAAAGUAGGCAAUCCAACACCCAUAUUUGCAUAGUCGGAGAUAGGAAAGGCAAAUAUGCGUCUUCCGUCGGCCUUCUCUCUCGUCGAACCCAAAUGCGUGAGCGGCUGGAGGCGUACGCAACAGAGGUGGAGCAGGCGUCGGUGCAGGGCUGGAGCGAGGAGUCUUGGGGAGCGAUGUCGGCUUCCUCACUUGCACCGGGCGAAGGAGGUGGCAAAUCCGCCGUGGUCGCAGCUGUGAGUUGCGGUUGACGGUUGGGGCCGCCGCCGUCGUGGCCGGGAGGGGUGAGGCUAUCGGGUGGAGGGAGAGAGCUCCUGAUCCGGCCGCCGGAGCCACUCAUGAUGCCCACGCCGUCCCUGUUGCCUGACGAGAUUCUGUUGCAGCUCGCUGCUGCGGACACAGACGGGGAACCCGUGGCCACGGAGAAGGCCGUGCGCUCGCUCACAGUCACGGUCGCGCUCGAGGUCCGUCCCAUGGGCGGCGACGGCGAGGGCGCCGUGCCGAGGAGCCGCCGACGCGGACAGCCCACCCCCUGCCUCGACCGCCACGAUGCAGCGACCGCUGCUUUGGGCUUUGCUUUUGCGUUAGCUGUUGGAGAGGCAAAGUUUUUGGUUCCCGACUCUUCUCCUGUGCGUGAUGCAAAUAUGAAAUGGGUGCUGUGAAUGGAUACUCAUUGUGGGAUACAGUCUUAGUGUCCUUAUAAAAAAAGUAUAAGGUGAAAAUAAAAAAAUGUUGUCAAUAAUCAAUUUUUCAUAUGUUGUAAUGUAUGCACACAAAAAAAUGCAUACUUUGUUGAAUAUAAUGGGCCUUUAGCCCAUAAUUAUAUUUGAUGAUUAAUUCAAGGGCCCAUAAUUAAUGCUAUAAUGAAAACGGUUUAGUACCGUAUUGAUGAUUGACCAUGUGUUAACUCAACUUAAAUAGGUGACCUUUGUUAGCUCCUAUGGAGAAGUUGAGGGAGGGAAAAGGGGUGCCACACGCGCGCGCCGCCGCCGCCGUGCCUGUCUUGUCUUGACACACGAGGACCAGACCAUACGUGACGUGGCACAUGCGUGGUGAAUAAGGAAAGGGAGGAAAAACGGGAUCUGACCGUCGAGUUGCUCUCGGUCCAUCCCUGUCCCGAACCUCUGCGCGCACAGAGAUCGGGAGAGCAGGCCUCCGGAACCCGACGCCUUGCAUCGAGACACCUGCUCGGGUGUUGCGGGCAAUUUCGGCGGAUUGACAUCGACUACAGCGUCUUCGUCUUCUUUCUGGUGGACGUUCACGGGUCUGCACUGCGAACAUCUUCCUCCGGUGCCUUCGGCACUGGUCCCUCCUCGGGUACAAUCUUAAACGAUUGUUUUUCACUUUCAGUAUGUCUGCUGUAGUUGCAGUAGUUCUUGCAAUAUUUAUCUCUAAUCUGAGUAGUGAUAAAAUUGUACACGUGCACAUAUAUGCCACCACAAUAUUAUACGUAUUUUUUUUGGAUUAAAUCAAACAUUAAAAUGUCUAAAUUUCUAACAUACUUCACGUUUUAACAUUGGACACGAAGGAACCGACAUUUCAAAUAUUUUCCUUGAAAUGGUGAUCCAUAUGGAUCGCUAGGUAGAUGGUGAUCUUUCAUCUAACCAUCAUGCCACAUAAUUGCCACGACAUGUCCAGUUGUUUUAUUUGGCCAAAAAAAAUAUAUUUCUCACCAAGUAAAUAAAACGGAUUAAAAUGUAUUCCUUCAUCCAUUCCAAGCACGCAACAUAAGUCUAUGUUUGUGAUUUCUUAUUAGGUUAGAGGAUUUUUUUUUUGCAAAUAAAAUGCAAAUAAAUAAAAAAUAAAAAGGUACCAUGAUAUUGAGACCGAGAGCAGCUCCAAGGGCCCAACUCCAAUGUACCACGGCUGAUCCAUCCCACAGGCCCAACUGCGUGUAUUGGGCCAGAAGCACCCGGACCCCGUUGCAGCCGAGGCGGUGCGCGAGGCGUGUCCGUAUUGGGGCCUUGCCCCGGUGCCACCAGAUCCACAAGUAGGUUUCGGCCUUCGGGAGCUCCUCCUCCUGUCCUUCUCGCCGAAAAGCAGCGCAGCACCCGCAGCGACAGGAGAGAACUCGAGAAGCCCCGGAGGAGGAGCAGCCGUCGGGGGGUCGGGGGGAAGAAGAUGUCGUACCUGCUGCCGCAUCUGCACUCGGGGUGGGCGGUGGACCAGGCCAUCCUCGCCGAGGAGGAGCGCCUCGUCAUCAUCCGCUUCGGCCACGACUGGGACGAGACCUGCAUGCAGGUAUCGAGAGCAAACCUCCUAACCCUAGAUUCUAAUUUCUAGCCAUCCUCGAUCUGUGCCUGUGCGAUUCCCUUGCGUUUGGUUUCUGUUUGCCCUACUUUGGGUUUGGGGGUGAGUCGUCGCUGGGGGCGAUGGGGGUUUGUGAGGUUAUUGAAUUCGUGGAGGGCGGAGGCUGUGCGCAAUUCAGGAAAUUGGGGGGGGGGGGGGGGGGGUGUUCCGGCGAUGAUUUUAAUUCAGGAGGAUCGAGUCAAGGGUUCUGAUUACUGAUGCUAUAGGUGAGCUGUAACAGUUUUUUUUGCUGCUUUGGUCUCUGCAAUCCGUGCGGCCUUCAUGUUAAUUACUUAAUUAGUGAGCACGAGUAGAGAUUGCUUAUGUUAGGGUAAUUCUGAUGAAGUGGUGAUAAUCAGGUUCUAGAGGACUCAGAGUUUGCUUGGCCGAUUAAAACAUGUGGGAGGACCAUUGUUAUGAUCUGUAAACUCACCAUUUAGCAUCUGGCGUCACUAAACUCUUCCUUGGCUAGUACCAAUAAAGUGUAAGAUGGUGCUAUCUUCGGUUUUUCUGUUCUCAGGGGAUAUAUUGUGAGUAAAAGUCUCUCCUUUUUUUUCCCUGGUAAAACAAAGCUUUUAUUCCACAUAGGGAUUUAAAUUAACUUGCAGUUAACUUCCUUUUUUUUUUAAGCCUUCUGUGAUGAAACUGAAGUACCAGUAAGGCAGUACCUUGCUACUAAGGCCCUGUUUGGCAUGGCUCCACUUCACUAGUGAAGUUGUUUUUUUGGGCUUCAGCUCCAUGAACAGCUCUAUCGGUGGAGCUGGAGCCAUUUUGGUAAACUGUUUGGCAAAACAACUCUUUCCUUAAAAUGUGCUCUCACAGAACGCCACGUAGGAUGAGGUGAAGCCGGGAGAAGCCACUAUUUUUGGCUCCUUCACACCCCAAAGCUCUGUGAGAGCACGUUUUUAGGGGCUUCAUUGGUGAAGCCAUUCUAUUUUACCCUGUUUGGCACAAAACGGCUCCAAACGGCUCCUGAAGCCGCUGGAGAAGCCGUGCCAAACGGGGCCUAAGUUAUGAACUGGUGCAAUUGUUUGUGCUUGCUGCUUUCUUGCUUGCGGUAGCCUGUCCUUUUGUCUUGAGGUAUGUGGAAACAAUAGAGAGUUAGUUGAGUUUUAGGGGUAUAUUCUACAGCUCUGCUUACUUGUGUAUAUACUGCAUAAGAGAACUAUGAACUGCAGCAGUUCACUGAUUUAGGUUUGUCAUGGUUGGUCCUCAAGUUGAUUGGUGCGGAGACAGAUAAUUACCCAAGGUUUGUGGAUUUCGCCGCAACUGUUGGGUGAUAAAUAAGGAUGGGGACGGUGCUCCAAACGGGUACCCGCGGUUCUUCUUUAGUGUAACUAAAUGAACUAAAUGGAAAAAAUGAGGGAAGAAAUUGUCUAUUUAGUUCAUUAAAUUACACUAGAGAAGAACUGCGGGUAUCCAUUUGGAGGGCCAUCCCCAUCCUUACUGAUUAAAUUAUAAGAACAAACUGUUGCUUAGUGGCCUGGGUUGUAUUGUAGCAUUGCAUGUUACAGUUAUGUCCACCUGAUUCUUUUUUACUGCCAUACUAUAUUUGUUAUGUUUAAAUUUGGAACAGAAGUGGUUAGGAUUUUUUGUUUUGUUAUAGGUCAAUAGUACAUCUGUACUCAUGUUGCAAGCCAAUCGGCAACUUCGGUACUUGAUUUUUUUUGCUAUUCAUUUAUCAAUGAAAUUGAGGUGAAGUAGCUGUCUGAUCUUUUCAUCAAUGCUUUCUGAAAAUCAUGUCCAUGGCCCUUACCAUUUUUAAAAUUCUCACUUGGUCAUAUGAUUUGGUUCCACAAUAAUUUAGCACUGUUGCGUGUUUUGAGUUUUGACUUUAUUCUGACUCGCUCUUGUUAAUGUUUUAGAUGGAUGAAGUGCUGGCAGCAGUAGCUGAGACCAUAAAGAACUUUGCAGUCAUCUACCUUGUCGACAUCACGGAGGUCCCUGAUUUCAACACCAUGUAUGAGCUGUACGACCCUUCGACGGUGAUGUUCUUCUUCCGGAACAAGCACAUCAUGAUUGAUCUCGGGACAGGAAACAACAACAAGAUCAACUGGGCCCUGAAGGACAAGCAAGAGUUCAUCGACAUCGUGGAGACUGUUUACAGGGGUGCCCGGAAAGGCCGCGGUCUGGUGAUCGCCCCAAAGGACUACUCCACCAAGUACCGUUACUAAGAAGGCCGGCAUUCGCGCCGGGCAGCAGCAGCAGCUUACUAGCCUACUAGUAUGUUCUCCCCCCCCCCCUCCCCCCCCCCUGUGCAAUCUACUGUGGGGAUGUUUACUUGGACUAUCGGUCCGACAGGUGAUGCUUAACUGUAUCUUGGCAUGCCCUAGUAUAUUCAGUCGCUGGCGAGCGAUGCUUAACUGUAUUUUGGCAUGCCAUUGUGAACUUGUGAAGUUGUGAUUUGAGGUGAUUGAUCGAGUGUUAAACGAACAGCUUUGUUCUCCCUUUUAUAUGCUUAUAUAUACUAAUAAGAAACGGUUACUGGUUUGGAACAUGGGAACUGAAUAUGGCUUCCUUUGGUAUUUUUAUCAAUGAUGAGUACUCCUCACCCUGUAACUUCUAACUUCCAUAUUGUUUAGAUAAGGAGCCAAAUGAAAAGGCUAAAAACUUGAGAAGUCACUGCCAAGUCUGUACCCGUUUUGUUUAAAUAAUCGCGAUGGCAGUGAUGGUGCAAAUUCAGGUGCCUUUUUAAGGACGUGACGGGAGACGGCACCUUUCGGUGAGAAUUUGGUGCAAGAAAACAUAAAUACUUCUGGAUGCAUCAAACAACGCAUGAUUAUUGUCUACCCCAUUCGUCUCAAAAAAAAAAGUUAUUGUUGAUUUUUAGACAUCUUAUUUAACUAUUUAUCUUAUUAUAAAAUUUUUUGUAUAAAUAUAAUCUAUUUUAAUAUGACUUAUUUAAUCAUUAGAGGUACAGUUUGUAUAAACAAAUUUAAAUAAAACGAAUGAUUAAAUAUGAUUGAUUAAAGUAAAAAACAUAGAAGUAUCGCCGAGCAAGUCUCUGAUCGCGAGUCCCUUGUCUUGCUCGGCGUCGUCAUGCUGCUGCUGCUGCGUGUCCGUUUCGGCGUGUGUGGCAUGCCGGGAAGGGAACACGAGCGGGGAAGGAUCCGAGACCGACACGGCGACACGUUAUAUACUCCAGUAUCUGCCGGCCCAGCCCGGUCCUAUUGAUUCAAUUAUUACAGCAUUAUUAACUAGUGAUUAUUAUAAUCUGAACGCGUUUAGUAGUACUGCACUGUUGGUGGUGCCCACAAGAAGACGAGACGCAGCAUCGGCCGUCGGCCCUGGCCCCGUGGGAAGUUUAGGCCUUGUUUACUUCCAAAAAAUUUUACAAAAUUUUUCAGAUUUUCCGUCACAUCAAAUCUUUAGAUGCAUGCAUGAAGUAUUAAAUAUUAUUGAAAAUAAAAACUAAUUACACAGUUUGAUCGGAAUUGACAAGACAAAUCUUUUGAAUCUAGUUAGUAUAUGAUUAGAUAAUAUUUAUCAAAUACAAAUGAAAGCGCUACUUGCAAAAAAUUUUGGAACUAAACAAGGCCUUAAUCGAAUGAUGCGAGCUGUUCGUUGUCGGCCCACGCAUGCAUGUCCCUAUUUUUAUUUUUGUGGGAGAAGCGUGGUCGGCUGAUCUGACGCUGGACGGCUGGAGGAACAUCUAACCAGUCCGCUGUCUGGUGGAGGCACAAAGCCGCAGCCCGCAGGGCACUGCCGAUCAUCAGCUUCCUCGCUCUGACUGGGGUCGUCUUUAACAAUGCCACUUUAGCUACGGUACUUUUUAGAUUCAAAAAGUUUUUAAAUUUUGAUAAUAUAGUAUUUUUGUUUUUAUUUAACAAACAUUGUUCAAUCAUGUAGUAACUAGAUUUAAAAAUUCGUCUCGUGAUUUAUAGGAAAACUGUGUAAUUAGUUUUUGUUUUCAUCUAUAUUUAGGCCUUGUUUAGUUUCCAAAAUAUUUUGCAAAAUUUUUCAUAUUCCCCAUCACAUCGAAUCUUGCAGCACAUGCAUGGAGCACUAAAUAUAGAUAGAGAAAUAACUAAUUAUACAGUUUACAUUUAAUUUGCGAGACGAAUCUUUUGAGCCUAGUUAGUCUAUGAUUGAACAAUAUUUGUCAAACACAAACGAAAGUACUACUAUUCCUAUUUUGCAAAAAAUUUUGGAACUAAACAAGGCCUUAAUGCUCCAUGUAUGUGCUACAAGAUUUGAUGUGACGGGAAAUCUUAAAAAGUUUUUGGUUUUUGGGGUGAAAAGGGAAAAAAAGACAUGAGCCCACGAUGAGUGAGGAAGAGCUAGGCUUUGUUUAGCUGUGAAAAGUUUUUGGAUUUUAGCACUAUAACCUUUUGUUUGUUUAUGAUAAAUAUUGUUUAAUUAUAGACUAAUUAAGAUCAAAAUAUUUAUCUUAUAAUUUAUAGACAAACUGUUCAAUUAAUUUUUGUUUUCAUCUAUAUUUAGUGCUUCAUGUAUGUGUCGCAAGAUUCGAUGUGACAAGGAAUUUUGAAAACUUUUUGGUUUUUAGGGUGAACUAAACAAGGCCCUAGAUACUGAGGAGGUUAUCUUAUAUGUUGUCUCUUAUCUGAUGUGGCAAUAUACUUUCUCUAUAUCUAUAUAAACAAAUCGUUUUAGACAAUGGUGUUUUAGACAAGUACGGUUUCCAAAGUCUAACUUUAACUUUUUGUUUUUUAAAAGUAUUUAUCAAAAAAUGGUAUAGAUAUAUUUCUAAAAAAGUAAUUUUCAAGACAAAUCUAUUCAUAUAGUUUUCAUAUUUUCAAAUUCAAUGACUUAAAAGUUAUUCACGAUUUAUAUUUUUAAUGUUUGAUCCAAAUCUUAUCUAAAACGAUUUGUUUUAUGGGCAUGGAGAAAUUAUAAGCUAGUUUGCUAGCUUAAUUGUUGAGGGUGCUCUGAGAGUACACUUGUGCAUCGUGGAAUGUUCCAAGCUUCGGAGCAGUAGGGCACGUUCUUUAUAAAUUUUGUAAAUUUUUUCAAUUUUCUAUCACAUCGAAUUUUACGUCACAUGUAUAAAAUAUUAAAUAUAGGUUAAAAAAUAAUUAAUUAUAUAGUUUUCGCGAAACAAAUCUUUUGAGCCUAGUAAUUCAUAAUUGAGAAACAAUGUCAAAUACAAACGAAAGUGCUACAAUUUUUAUUUUGUAAUUUUUUUCAAAUAAACAAGACCUGGACAGUGCCGCGCAUUUAUUUUGUGCCGUGCCAGGUCGACCUCACUUGUGUGGAGGAACCCUCACUUGUGCAAGCUCUCACCGACAACAACACUUUAAUUUAGAGCAUCUCCAAGAGUAUCCUAUAAUCCACUCCUCAAAUCUUUAAUUUUAGGAAGUCGAUAAAAGUUUUAGGAAGUGUAAAAUCUUGUUAUCUCCAACAGUUCCUUAAAAAGGCUUUCCUAAACUCUAAAACUUGGACCCACCUCUACCAAAUCUUAACCGUACCCCUUCAUUUUCCCGUGAACGGACUCCCACGGCGCCGCGAACUCGGGAUGCAAGCGGGCCUGUCUGCAGACGGCCUGCACGACGCCGCGUCACCUGCCUCAAAAAUCUGCUUGCUCUGCAGGACCCGCCAGCUCUUGCUUUGCAAUCGCCAAAUCCUGUUAGGCUUUGCAGUAAUAAACAAGGGGACCUGCAGCUGCAGGUGCCUGCAGGAGCCCGCAUGCCAGCCCACAACGCGAGUAUACACAAGCAUUCCCAGACUAUUUCUCCAAGCAACCUAGCGAUGAACGACCAUACGGGAGCGAUGAAGAUUACCUCCUGACGAUCUCUCCUCCUCGGAAUCUCUCCUACUCGCCGGCCACGAUCUCUUCUCCAACCAGACCGGCGCGCGAUCGAUCUUGGCGAGAUCGGUCCUGGCGAGAUCGAGUUCCUCCUCGGUGAGGGCUUCUGGCGAGAUCGACGUCCUCCUCGCGACGGUCAAGUGACCCUGAAGCGAUCGAUCUUGGCGAGAUCGGUCCUGGCGAGAUCGAGUUCCUCCUCGGUGAGGGCUUCUGGCGAGAUCGACGUCCUCGCGACGGACAAGUGACCCUGAACGAUCUGGAGUGCUAGAUAUAUAUGGCCGGGCUUCGACAAGUUUUUUUCGGCGUGUGAAGAAAAGCCGUGGGAAAGAAUUUUCACGUAGCGCGCGAAACAACGACGGCCGAGCGGGAGAGGAAAUACGCAGCGAGAAUUGACGCGUAAAUUUCCGCCCUACGGGAGUAUUUUACCGCAACUCCUAAAAAUAGGAUUGGGUUUUAGGAAACUGUUGGAGAUGAGUUUUUCAUGUUUUAUCACAAUUUUAAGAAUACCAACAUGUUUUUGUUUUAGGAUACUCUUGGAGAUGCUCGAUCUAGGAGAAAUAUGGAAUAUGAUUCGUAAUUCUUGAAAGAUACAAUUCCAUGGAAACAAAAAAGCUGGAACAUGCGGUGAGGCAACCGAGAAACAAGCCGGUGAGACAGAGAUGCAAACGGAAAGAACACAACCGUCUCCACCAAUCACAUCAACUUUGCAAAAGAAAAAAAAAAGUGAACAAUGCCAGACGGAAUGCCUAGGGCCUUGUUUAGUUCAACCAAAAACCAAAAAAAUUUUAAGAUUUUUUGUCACAUCAAAUCUUGCAGCACAUGCAUCGAGUAUUAAAUAUAGAUUAAAAAUAAAAACUAAUUAUACAGUUUGCCAGUAAAUCGCGAGACAAAUCUUUUAAGUGUAGUUACUCAAUGAUUAGACAAUGUUUGUUAAACAAAAACGAAAGUGCUACAAUGUCGUUUUUUCAAAAAAAAUUGGAACUAAACAAGGCCUAGAUAUGCAUUUAGGCCUUGUUUACUUCCACCCUAAAACCUAAAAUUUUUCAAGAUUCCCUAUCACAUCGAAUCUUUAGACACAUACAUGAAAUAUUAAGUAUAGAUGAAAAUAAAAACUAAUUAUACAGUUUGGUCGGAAUUUACGAGACAGAUCUUUUGAGCCUAGUUAGUCCAUGAUUGAACAAUAAUUAUCACAAACAAAUGAAAAUGCUAGUAAAUUUUUUUCCAUCAUAAACUAAAUCCCUGUUUAGUUCCCCACAAAAAAUUUUUUAUCCAUCCCAUCGAACCUUUGGACACAUGCAUGGAACAUUAAAUAUAAAUAAAAAAAUAAACUAAAUACACAGUUUGGUUGAGAAUCGCGAGACAAAUCUUUUAAGUCUAGUUAGUCUAUGAUUAGCCUUAAGUGCUACUGUAACCGACAUGUGCUAAUGACAGAUUAAUUAUGUUUAAUAGAUUUGUCUUGCAGUUUCCAGACGAGCUAUGUAAUUUGUUUUUUUAUUAGUUCCUAAAAACUCCUCCUGAUAUCCUUCCGACACAUCUAAUGUGAUACCCAAAAAUUUUUCAUCUCCAAUCUAAACAAACACGGCCUUAUAAAUAUGAUCCAGGAACGAAUUGAUGGAGGCGAUACCCUUAGAUAGCCGAUAUAGCCAUAUAGGAUAAAACUUAUUCAAUGUAAACCCUAAGGGCAGUACCAAUGGUAGAAACUAUACACAAUGUCCAAAAAAAUAUAUCAACAAAAAUAAUCUAUAGAAACUACCUUACACAAUGGCUGAGUCUUCAUGUAAUAAAUAUUAUGCUUUUUUUCUCUCUCUCUCUUAUCUCUUCCUCCUCCUGACCUCUAUUUCUCUCUUCUCUCCCAACCGCACAAACACAGAACGCAUACUGCAGCAGGCGAGCACUCGCGGCUUGUGCACAGAUGUAGAACGCAUGUAGCAGCUUGCAGCUUGCGCGGGCGGCGUGGAUGGGCGAGCCGGAUGGGCGGCACCGUGCCGGCCUGGGUGGAGGGGCGAACAUGCGCAGAGUUGGCGCAUGCUAGCUGCAGAGCUGGCAAGCGCAGCUAGCAAGCUUUUGCGGUGGCGCGGGCAGAGCGCUGUGGUGGUCGGUGACCAGGCAUAGCAGCGACGACGAGCGCUGCGGCGUGGCGAGCAAGAUGGCGAGCAGCUAGCAUGCGACCCCAAUCAUUCAUAGCAGCGGCGGGCGAGCUAUCGCUACGGCGCGGGCGAGUGUGAUGGCGAAGCAUGCCAUGAAACCAGUUGUUUCUCCCCAACUCGUUUUUGCUCGUUUCUUCAUGCAUCGAUCCGAGUCAGAACGUCGUUUCUGGAUGAGGAAACGGUUUCUUCUUUUUUCACACUCUCUCUUCAAUAACUUCUUUACCACAUCAGCAAAUUGCUGAGUUGUCAAUAUAAUUAAGAGGGAUAGAAACUAUUAUUAAUGCUCCAUUGGAACUGCCCUAACAAUGACAAUUUUGAACAACGGAGCGUCCUUGCUCCUCAUACCCCCGAUGAAGUCGCUGCACGAGAGGAGUUGGGGGACUACAGAUUAAUGGUUCAAGAGCGCCUAUGGAUGGCAAUUACACAACUAUUCAACUAAGUUAUCCACGGUCACAUCCUAAUACUGAUUUUUCUCAAUAUGCAAGCUAUCAAACUAGGCAAUCCACUAUUACACACAAAUAAAACCUACUAGCUCAUGAAACUGUAAUGUCCACAUCAAUCAGUCACCUAUUUAUCUAAAUAUAUAAGCUGUCCAAUUAGGCAAUACACAUUAUAACCUAUUUAUAUUACUUCUUCAUACCCACGGUAAUAUCCACGUCGGCAUUCACAUGGCCGUCGUAGCCCCGUUGGAGUGGAGUAGGCCACCGCUGGUUGGGAGCAGUGGCGGGCUCAAUGGGUAGUCCAGGUAGGCACAGGACUACCCUGGAUUUUGGCCCAAAAUUUUUUUAGUACUCUUUUCAGCCUAUAGAAACUUGGCCCAUCCUCUUUCUCCUCCCUUUCCAACAUCUCCGUUCAUUCGCCAUCCCGAGUUCGCAUCCGGCAUCCUGCAUCCGACAAGGCGUCUCGCGACUGGCGAGGAGGAGCCGCCGGGCGUCGAGCCGCCGCGGUGCCCCCGUGCCGCUGCCGCCUAGGCGCCCACGCACCUCACGCGCCCACCACGCGGCCACGCGGCCCACGUCGGCACUGACGCCGGCCAGCUGGCCAGUUGGCUCGCGCCCCGUGGCCCGCCGCCCUGCGUGGCUGCGCGCCAGCGCCCCUGCGCUGUGGUUGACCCGCCGCGACGCCGCCUCCCUCGACCCUGCGACUGCCUGUGCAGCUGUGCUGCGCCCUGCCUCAGUUGGCCCGCCGCCCGCCUCCUCCAUGAGUUGGCCUCUGCCUCUUGUGUUCCUGCCUUUCGGAUGAGUUGAUUUUUUUUUCUCCUAGAUCUAUGAGACUGUGAUUCUGUGAGACUUAGAGCCAAUAAUGAAUGAAUUUGUUGAUAUAUUUUUAGGAAGUUGAGGCAUGAAGAAAUCAAAUAUAGCAGUUUUUUUCCAAAAACAUGAGAAGAAAAAAAUUGUAAUUUAGACUGCUCCACCAAUUCCAGUUAUUGAUGAAGACUUAGUCCUUAAAUUGGUAUUGACCUUAGCGGUGGCGACAACAAGUGUUGAAAGAGUUUUCUCUGCCUUGUGUUUAGUGAAGAAUAAGGUGAGAAAUAGUACGAGUGAUAGGCCAUUGAACGAUUGUUUGGUUAUCUUUAUUGAGCGUGAUAUAUUAUCAAAUGUAAGUAAAGAUGACAUAAUUCAUGCUUUCAUGGCAAUGAGGAAGCGCAAACUAAAGUAGCCUUUUAUAUUUAUGUAAGACCUUAUCUUAUAUGUAAUCUAUUUGUGCAAGUUUAAGACCAAUUUAUGUAAGCUUUGAACAUUAAAUUGUAUUGUCGCAAUUUGCUUAUUUUAUAGUCAUUUUAUCGAUUUUUUUCUUUGAAUUUUGUCGUGUUGCGCAUGAAAUUUUUUUUGAGGAUUAUCUUGGUUUCAAUUCCUGGGUCCGCCACUGGUUGGGAGCCUACCGCCUCCUCUAUGAGAUCGAAAUGGAGAAAGCGAGGAUCGCCGCCUAGAUUCAUCGACAACACGCCCCCCCCCCCUGGCGAGCAUCGAGGCUUGUGCAGCUCCACUGAUGCUCGCGGCUUGCUCCGAUGUGGUCUUCACUGGCGGUGUGGAUGGGGCGCAAGGAUGGCUUGGCAAUAGUUGGAGCAAUGGGAUGGAGGGAGAAAGAAAGGGGCAAUAGGGUCAAUAUUUGUCGAGCAUAUCAGUAAGGGGUAUCCUGACUGACAUGCAUAACAAGAAAACCCGUACGCGAGUCGAGGCCUCCAACUCGACGCUCUACCCAGUCACACGUACGGUCAUCGACGACCGCCGCCUCGAAGACGGUAAGGGCGUCGAGCGAAUCGAUCAGGGCUUGAGCACCGGCUACCAUCGAACACGGAAACAGACUCGAGCGAAUCGAGAGGCGUCGAGCGCAAGGACGCCGCCAGCCGCCUGACGCGGGCACGGGAACCAGGGCAUUUAAUGCGCAUACAGCGUUCUCACCUAACCUGCAGGUCACGGGAAGCGUGAUAGGGAACAGGCGCCCAUCUUGUCUUUCUUUUUGCAGCCUUCCCCACCAAACAAGUCAGAGCAUGACAGGAUGGAGGACGCAAGGAUGGAACGUCUAAUCAAGACCCCCUCGAGACGUCCAAGGUCAGCGCUCUGGUUAGAGAACCGUUGCACGACACCCGACCCUCAAGUAGACAUGUUUCCUUCCUGAGGAAGGGUCGGGCGUCGACUGACAGCACUUCAACUGCUCUGGCAUAGCUGCCACCACGUCGUACAAGCGUGCGACAUAUGAAUCAGCCCAGAACGGCGCGCAGAGUAGGAUACCGGGGCACGCGUAAUCAUCAUCAAGCUACCGGAACAAGAUGGCUCGAGACCACGCCGGUACGGAGGGCUCGAGUAGGUCAGCGUGCCAUGCCUCUAUCGACCCAUACUCUGACGCCUAUACAUGUACCCUGAGUCUCUCCUUGGAACUAUAAAAGGGGAAGCCCGGGAACGGAUACGAGACACGCGACACAACACAAGACACCCGUAGUAGAGCUACUUCAUCCCAGUUCAUCCACACAUGCUUGUAUUCACCCCUGUACAAGCACUUAGGUGCAAAAUAAUACAAACUCUCCUCCCCCUCGCUGGACGUAGGGCCUUCUUUUGCCCGAACCAGGAUAAAUCUUUGUGCCUUUUUGCAUCACCAUCUGGGAAAGGGAACACGCAUACAAAUUUACUAGUUGUUGUGACCCCCCGGGGGAAAAACACCGACAGUUGGCGCGCCAGGUAGGGGUCCUGCGUGUUUUUCAUCGAUUUCCCAUUCUUUUCCAGAUGGCCACUCUUUCUUCACCGAUUCUGCGCUCCACGGUGAUUUGGUUUGGGAGUCUCUUGUUCAUGUCUACUGGCUCCGGCUAUGACAUGAUCCUGCUCUCGAUCAAUGGACCUGGAGGAGCCCGCAUUGCGCCAACACGGUUGACGGCCCCGAGACGUCCUCGCCACCACGCCUCCCCGCCCAAGAAGAGGCGUGGACAGCGCCACCAAUGCCCCUCUGCCUCGUCAUGACCGACGGUUCACGCCCGGCGGGUGGCGGCACAGGAGCCGACAGCCCCGCGCGUAGAAACCGUGGGCAUGACGGCUCGACGCCACGAGGAUCGCACGACGACAGGAGGUGACGUGCCUCGCGUGCUCUCCCCCACCGCUACGCUAAUUCCACAUGGGCUCUUCGCCCCAAGAAGGGCGCUGUCGUUCGGGCUGGACAACGCCGCAGCAUCACUCGCCAGGACGAUAUGUCUAAAUGCCCAGACGUAUGUGGAACGACCAAUGGUCCUCCCACGCGACAUUGGAGCACGGCCACAGACGUCCGAGCUGCCAGACUUCUCGCAGGUACGAGGCCUCCGCCGCCUAGGCCCUGGGCGGUACACGAUUACCUCCCUCAGGCAGCGGCUGCUGGAGGAAGGACGCGGAUGUUUCUACGCCGCCGAGCCGGACUCUGGCUCGGAAUCCGAUAGCUACGACCCUACUAGGGAGUGCUUCCACAUCGACGGGGCGGUAGAAACUACCGACAAGACGCAAGACGCCGUUGUCGGCGGUCGAGCCCCUGCAGCAAGGGAAGACCCCAGGACGCCUGGGAACAACGGUCAGGUCGACCCCCCCUCCACAGGAAGACAGAGCCGCGCAAAUUGCGCAACUACGAGAGCUCAAGGCAAAGCUUGACGAGGAUCGCGAGCGCCUUGUUCUGCUUGAGCAGAUCCUCGAGCAGGACCUGCCCUACCCGCCAGGCGGAAGUGUCCGCAGACGGGCACGAGAAGUACAUAGGCAGAUCAUCGGAGACGAAGAGCCUGAGCAACCCGUCAGUCGUUUCCCUCGAGCGGGACAGAACGUCGUGGCAGCGACAAUGUUGCUGCGCAGUAUGCCUGAGCUGUCGAAUUCCCAAGCAUGACGCAUUCGAGACGAGGUGUAUACUCUACUCCAGGUAGCAGCGGUUCAGCAGGCCGAAAGCUCAGCCUCUCGGCAUCGGGGAGCGGCCACAGAAAAGCACGAUGAGCCGGCCCGCAACGAAAAAGAGGUGUCGGUCCAUCAACAGCCACCCCCUCGAGGGAAAAAGACCACGCUCGUCGUCCUCGUCGACAACCAACAUCGACACGACGCACGACGCGACAUCGAUGAGAAUCGAUGCCAUCGGUAUGGGGACGCAGAGGAGCGCGGUUACAGCACCCAUCGCGACGGGAGGUACGACAGCGAUGAGGACCGGAUGGCCCCAGAGCCACCAGGCCCACGGGUGUUCAGCAGGGCGAUCCGCAGCACGCCGCUGCCCAGCCCGUUCCGACCCCCGACCAGCAUCGCAAAGUACAACGGCGAAACCAAACCAGAGCUGUGGCUGGCAGAUUUCAGGCUGGCCUGUCACCUGGGAGGCGCUCGAGGGGACGAUCGAGCCAUUAUCCGACAGCUGCCACACUUCCUCUCCAACACCGCCCGUAGAUGGCUCGAGGAGCUCCCGGCCAACCAGAUCUACGACUAGGUUGAUUUGGUCAGGGUGUUCGAGGGCAACUUCAAGGAAACCUACAUACGACCCGACAACUCGUGGGACCUCAACAAAUGCAAGCAGAAGUCAGGAGAAACCCUUCGAGAGUAUGCUCGACGCUUCUCGAAGCAGCGCACCGAGCUGCCACACAUCCCCGACCACGACGUCAUCCUAGCCUUGGUCUCUGGUACCACUAGUCGAGACUUGGUGCGGGAACUAGGCUGGAAUCGCCCUCAAACCGUCGACGAGUUGAUGGACGUGGUGGCAAACUACGCUACAGGAGAAGAAGCGGUCGGCGCCUUCUUUAGCUGCGAAGGAAGAAAAGGCAAGCCGCCCGCUGAUGAUGACGAGGGCCCCAGUCGAGGGCCCAAUAAGAACAACAACAAGAAGAAGACGCGACCGUUCUAGCGGGAGGACCUCGAUGACGAUCUCGUCGCCGCCAUGGAGCACAAAAGGCCUCGAGGGCCCCGGAAGGGGCUAUCUUUGACAAGAUGCUAAAGGAGCCAUGCCCUUACCAUAAGGGAGGGGCAAACCACAAGCUCGAGGACUGCCGUAUGCUAAAAAACAUUUCGACGGUCUGGGGUUCAAGAAGGACGCCCGUGACGACCCAAAGAAGGAGAAGAACGAUGACAAAGGGAACGACAAGGACGACGAAGGUUUCCCUCCCGUCCACGACUAUUACAUGAUCUACGGUGGACCCUCGACGCAGCUGACCGCAAGGCAACGCAAGAGGGAACGCCGUGAAGUCUUUGCGGCAAGGAUGGCGGUGCCCCAGUACCUCAGAUGGUCGAGCACCCCCAUCACCUUCGACCGAGACGACCACCCCGACAAAGUAGUCGCCCCCGGCAUCUACCCGCUCGUCGUCGACCCCAUCAUCGUCAACGCCAGGCUCUCAAAGGUGUUGAUGGAUGGCGGCAGCAGCCUCAACAUCAUCUACCUCGAGACCCUCGACCUUCUCGGCAUCAACAGGGCGCAGCUCCAACCAAGCGCCGGCGGAUUCCACGGCGUUGUGCCUGGAAAGAAGGCACUACCGGUAGGUCGAAUCGACCUACCGGUCUGUUUUGGCACGACUGCCAAUUUCAGAAAGGACACCCUCACCUUUGAGGUUGUGGGGUUCCGAGGCACGUAUCACGCCAUCAUCGGGCGCUCGGGCUACGCCAAAUUCAUGGCUAUCCCCAACUACACGUACCUGAAGCUAAAGAUGCCUAGGCCCAAGGGCGUCAUCACCGUCAGCUCCUCCUACGAGCACGCGUAUGAAAGCGACGUCGAAUGCGUCGAGUAUGGGGAAGCCAUUGAGAGUUCCUCCGAGCUCGCCUCGAAGCUCGAGGCCCUAGCCGCUGAGGCUCUAGAGCCUAAGCGCCACGCGGGCAGCUUCGAGCCGGCAGAAGGGACCAAGAAGAUCCCGCUCGACCCAACAACACUGACGGCAACGUGGUGACGAUCAGCGCCGACCUUGACCCCAAAUAGGAAGCUGUGCUCGUCGACUUUCUCCGUGCAAACACCGACAUGUUUGCAUGGAGUCCUUCGAACAUGCCAGGCAUACCGAGGGAAGUCGCCGAGCACUCCUUGGAGAUUCGAGCUGGUUCCAAGCCAGUGAAGCAGCGGCUACGUCGCUUCGAUGAAGAAAAGCGCAAGAUCGUUGGCGAGGAAAUCCAUAAGCUUUUGACGGCCAGAUUCAUCAAGGAGGUUCACCAUCCCGACUCGUUAGCAAACCCUGUACUAGUUAAGAAAAAGCAUGGGAAAAUGAGGAUGUGUGUCGAUUAUACAAGUUUAAAUAAAGCAUGUCCAAAAGUUCCCUUUCCAUUACCACGUAUCGAUCAAAUUGUUGAUUCUACUGCAGGAUGUGAAACCCUUUCUUUCCUUGAUGCUUAUUCUGGUUACCAUCAAAUAAAAAUGAAAGAGUCCGACCAGCUCGCGACAUCUUUCAUUACUCCUUUUGGGAUGUAUUGUUAUGUAACCAUGCCGUUCGGGCUUCGAAAUGCGGGAGCUACAUACCAGCGCUGUAUGCUCCACGUGUUCGGCAAGCACAUAGGAUCGACGGUCGAGGCCUACAUCGACGACAUCGUCGUCAAGUCAAAGCAACGGGGAGACCUGAUUCAGGACCUCGAGAUCGCUUUCAGUUGCUUACGUGCCAACCAGAUCAAGCUUAACCCCGAGAAGAGCAUUUUCGGCGUACCUCGAGGCAUGCUCCUGGGUUACAUUGUUUCCCAGCGCGGCAUCGAGGCCAAUCCCGAGAAAGUCUUGGCCAUCACGAGAAUGGGGCCAAUCCGAAACGUCAAGGGCGUGCAGAGAGUAACGGGAUGCUUAGCGGCGCUGAGUCGUUUUAUCUCGAGGUUGGGAGAAAAGGCGUUGCCACUGUAUCGACUUCUGAAGAAAGUCGAGCGUUUCUCUUGGACCACUGAGGCCGAGGAAGCCCUCGAUAACUUGAAGAAAACGCUGACCUCUACACGAGUCCCAGUCCCGCCUCAACCCGCAGAACCUCUGCUCCUUUACGUUGCCUCGACGACCCAGGUCGUCAGUGCAGCUGUGGUGGUCGAGAGGCAGGAGGAGGGGGCAUGCGUUGCCAGUCCAUAGGCUAGUCUAUUUCAUCAGCGAGGUGCUCUCGGAGACCAAGGCGCGUUACUCGCAAAUCCAGAAGCUAAUCUACGCCGUGAUCCUCGCUCGACGCAAGCUACAACAUUACUUCCUCGGCCACCCUAUCACGGUGGUCUCGUCCUUCCCCCUGGGCGGGAUCAUCCAAAGUCGGGAGGCCACGGGUAGAAUCGCUAAGUGGUCGGUAGAGCUCAUGAGUGAAACCCUCACUUAUGCGCCCCGCAAAGCUAUCAAGUCACAGGCCCUGGUGGAUUUCGUCGCGGAAUGGACAGACUCCCAGCUCCCCUCGGCUCAAGUUCAGGCUGAGCUGUGGACGAUGUAUUUCGACGGGUCUCUCAUGAAGACAGGAGCUGGGGCGGGCCUGCUAUUCAUCUCGCCUCUGGGCGUUCAUAUGAGGUAUGUCAUCAGGAUUCAUUUUGCCGCAUCUAACAAUGUCGCGGAGUACGAGGCCCUUGUCAAUGGUCUGAAGAUCGCCAUCGAGCUAGGAGUCCGACGCCUCGAUGUUCGAGGUGACUCCCAGCUCGUCAUCGACCAAGUGAUGAAGGCCUCGAACUGCCACGACCCGAAAAUGGAGGCGUACUGCAAGGAGGUCCGUCGACUCGAGGACAAAUUCCAUGGUCUCGAGCUCGUCCACAUUGCCCGACGCUUCAAUGAGGCAGCCGACGAACUGGCCAAAAUCGCCUCGACUCGAGGCACGGUCCCACCGGACGCAUUCUUGAGAGAUCUACACGAGCCAUCCGUCGACUUGGGCUCGGGGGCUGGUGUCGAAACCACCGUCCAAGCUGACGCCGUCGAGACACUACUAGAAGCAGCCGAAGUAAUGGGGGUAGAACAACGACCCGGUCGACCGUUCGACUGGCGCACGCCAUACUUCGACUGCCUGAUUCGCUGUGAGCUACCAGAAGAUCGAUCCGAGGCCCGCCGCGUCGCUCGACGGGCCAAGUCAUAUGUAAUCUACGGCGAAAGCAACGAGCUAUACGGACGAAGCCCGACGGGGAUCUUGCAGCGUUGCAUCACUAUAGAAGAAGGCCGAAAACUCCUCGAGGAUCUGCACUCGGGGGCUUGUGGCCACCAUGCCGCUCCACGGACCCUCGUAGGAAACGCUUUCCGACAAGGCUUCUACUGGCCAACGGCCGUAGCUGACGCCAUCGAGCUCGUGCGCUCGUGCCAUGGGUGCCAAUUCUACGCCAAACAGACGCAUCUGCCCGCCCACGCUCUCCAGAUGAUCCCCAUCAUGUGGCCGUUCACGGUGUGGGGGCUCGACUUAGUAGGGCCUCUACAAAAGGCAAAAGGGGGGUACACCCAUUUGUUGGUGGCCAUCAACAAAUUCUCAAAAUGGAUCGAAGAUUGACCCAUCACCAACAUCCGUUCCGAGCAAGCCGUCCUUUUCUUCACCGACAUCAUCCACCGGUUCGGGAUUCCCAAUGUCAUCAUCACCGACAACGGCACUCAGUUCACCGGCAGAAAGUUCUUGAACUUCUGCGAUCGGCAUCACAUCCGUGUGAACUGGUCUGCGGUGGCCCACCCUCAAACUAACGGCCAGGUCGAGCGUGCCAACGGCAUGAUUUUGCAGGGGCUCAAACCGAGGAUCUACAACCGCUUGAAGAAAUUCGGCAAGAAAUGGGUCGAAGAGCUUUCUUCGGUCCUAUGGAGCGUAAGAACGACGCCAAGCAGGGCCACCAAAUACACCCCAUUCUUCAUGGUCUAUGGCUCUGAGGCCGUGCUACCGACGAACCUCGAAUAUGGAUCCCCCGACUUAAAGCAUACAACGAGCAAUCAAGUAAAGAGGCUCGAGAAAACGCGGUCGACCAACUUGAGGAAGCUCGAGACAUGGCCCUCCUCAACUCCGCCAGAUACCAGCAGAAGCUUCGACGCUACCACGAGUAGCACGUACGCAGAAGAGAUCUAAACGUGGGCGAUCUUGUCCUACGACGGCGGCAAAGCAACCAAGGACGCCACAAGCUGACCCCACCCUGGGAGGGCCCAUACGUGGUGGCCGAGGUCUUGAAGCCAGGAACGUACAAGAUGGCGGAUAAUAAAGGCGCGAUCUUCACCAACGCAUGGAACAUCGAACAACUACGUCGAUUCUACCCCUAGAAUUCCAAGGCUUUAUGUUCCCAUGUACAUUCUGUAUCAAAACCUUAUGAAUGAAUGCAUAAAUGAAUAAGAUCUUUCCCUCGAGUAACUUACUUUUUUACGGGUCAAAGCCUAGACGUCAGAAGGGAGUACCAACUAUGACACAUCAUAGUCGAUACUCCCUCGGGGACUAGCAGAGGGAUCCCCUCCAAGCACCGAAAAAACUAAGCAAUUUUUUCGUCCCUACUUAGUAAACCUUGCACGGUCGAAUAGUUGAGGCACCUCGAGCCCCUUAAGGACCGAGGGACAGCGAGCCUGAGAACUCCUACGCCCCAGGGCUAUGGAAACUCUACUCGCUUCCUCACCCUUGAGGCGAUCGAGACCGCCUUAAACAAAAGACUAAACGAGGAAUACGAACGUAGGCGCAAAAAGAAACAUAAGAGCCUUGAGCGGAAAGACAGAUAAACAUUCAGAAAUCUUACAGCCACUUAAAAACACAAGUAUUACUUAAGAUAGAAAAGUACUAUACAAGGGGCCUAGACACCCAGAGCAGGCUCACAAGCCUCAGUCCGCAUCUCGGCCCUCACCACCAUAACCCGCGCCUGAGGGGGAAGUACUUCCGGCUCGAACAGCUUGGCCAACCUCUCCCCAGGGACCUCUGCAUCAUCGAUCAAGGCGUGGAGCCUUUCCUCGUUCUCCGCGUCGGUCUUGGAGAUAUCGGUGACGAAGCUGUGGGACACCACCUCCAUAUCUUAUGAAAAGCCUGAGCAGACGACCGCCAUUGCCCGCUUCACUCCGAUAUGAAGAGCGUCCCGCACUCGAUCCCUCAGCGUCACGCCUAAGUAGCACAGCUGAUCGACCAGUGCGUCGCCUCGAGCCUCCUCCCUCGACUCGUCCACAGGCUCGACCUCCUAGGAGGUCGAGAGAUCGCUUAUCGCCGACCGCAGCCGACGGUUCAGAGCGACCUCCCCCUCGAGCUGGGCCUUGGUGGAGCGGGCCUCGACUUGGGCUGCCAGUAGCUCAUCUUUAAGCCCUGCAAAAACCAACACGAAGAAAUUGACCAUCACCAAGCACACCUCGAAAAGAAAACCCGACAAUAGAAACGUACCACGAAUGCUCUCCUCCAGAGCCGUGUUCUCGCCGACCAAGUUAGUGUUGGCCCUCUCGAUCUCUUUGUUGGAGCACACCGGCUCGGUGUUGGCGACGCGUAGGUCUUCAAUCACCUUGCCAGCUUGCGCGAUGGCUCCAUUUUUCUCCAGCAGCUCUCCCUUCAGACGAUCGACGUUGUAAGAAAGGCCGCGAGAUCGAAUCCGCUCAGCCUCGAGAUCUUCGAGGGCCUUCCUCUUGGCCUCCUCUGCGGCGCUCCUAGCAAUCUCGCCGUUCAUGCACUCCACCUUCAUCCUUUGAAAGGUUUCUCGAGCGGAGGCGAGAUCAGCCUGGAGGAGGCCUUCUCCCUGUCCAGGUCAGCGACAGCGUUCUUAUGAGACAAGGCCUCCUCCCGGGCUUUGGACGCGGCUUCCUCGACCAUGAUAGCCCGCUCCCUCAGGAGCGCAGCCUCUUCCACCGCCUUCCUUGUGGCCUCUCGAGCCUCGGCCAGAGCAGCCUCCCUCUCCUUCUUCUCCUCCUCAAGUGCCAAAAGAUCUUUGUAGGCCUUGAGGAGCUUCUCCUGCGACUCCAGGAGUUUGUCCUUAAGGAUGGGGAGUUGCUCCCAGCCGCCUCUUGUUGCGUGGAUGAAGCUCGACUUGAUGCGGGAGGUCUCUUUCACGUCCUGCGAGCCAGCGAUCGGCUAGUGAGCACACAAAACCAAACAUUCUAUAAAAAUAAAGGCUCGAAAAACACUUACAAAGUAGGCCGGCCCGAGCCCGUUGUUAACAACGUCGGACAGGAGCCCCACCGUAUGCUUCGUCCAUAGACAAAGCUCCUCGACGUGCUCCCACUUCUCGGCCUCCUUCCGAUCAUCUAAGAAGUUAUUGGGCUCGGACGGAUCGGUGGAAGCCCGGAUGCAGAUCCGAUCGGGGCACCAGUUUUCCAUCUCCUGGUCAGCGCGUGCAUUGACGCCUCAAAUGAGCUCCUCGACGGUCUCGAGUGACCCCUCGUGGCGCAGGAACAGGUCGACGAGGGAGGGGAACCGCCCGUCGUCAUCCACCGUCUUCCAUGUCCCAGUCUCGUUGGCGCCUCCACCACCCGACGUCCCAGCCUCAUCUUCCUCGGCGGGGAUGCGCUCCUCCCACGAUCGACUCCCGGAGGAAUCGUGGAGCGAUUCCGUCCAUGCCGUAGAUCGUCCUCCUGAUCUCGGACUGAGGGUCGACAGGGGUACGCAUCAUACAGGCCAGCGCCACCACGCCGUUCGCCCGCCCCGAUUCUGCGGGGAUCGAAGCGGGCGCCCCUGGGAGGAGCCACGCCGGGGUCGGAGCACCGUAAACUGGCAGACUCACCUCAGGCUCUUGCGGCGAUGGCGGUAUUGGUUGGGGCGGGCUUUGAGAGGGAGGCACGAGCAUUUCCUCUAACUGUUGGCCCCUCUGCUGCUGCUGCUCCUAGAGCUCCUGCAGCUCCCGCUGUCGGUCCUGCUCCAGCAGCUCCUCGAGUUGGGGACCUGCUGGUGCCUGCCCCUCCUCUCCCUCUUUCUGUGGCUGUUGCUCCUCCUGCGGCUGUCGCCGCGCCUCCUGCUCCCGCUCCUUUUCCUCCUCUUUCUUCCUCUGCUGCUCGACAGAGUGGAGCCCGAUGGGCCAAGGUGUCCGCCUCGCAGUGGAGGAGGCCUCGACCUCCUCGUCCAUAGGACGGGCGUCCCUCGAAGGCCCGUCGCCGCCAGACCCAUCACUAAUAGUGAUAGGUUCCGCCUCGACCCCCGAUCGAGGAGGCUCGGGGGCUCCCUCCUGCUCUUAGAGACGGGGCGCUUCAGCCCGCUUCGGCGACGGCGGGGUGGACUCCACCAUCGACGGGCGAGGCAGAGCGCCCUCGGUGCCAGUCGAUGGCCGAGGAUUGGAGGGGCCUGCAAGCACUCGAUAACAAAAAUUAGUCGCCAUAACAAUCGACACAAAGCUAACACGCACUUAGGAAUGAACCGCUAACCUGAAUCCUUGGGGGCCGCUCCCACCUUGAGCCUCUUAGCCAUCGAGGGCUGAGCCAGCUCGAGCGUCCGCUUUAACCUGGGAAAAAGGAACUGGCGUAAGCGAAGCCGGGAAAAUGCAGAGACAUAGGAAGAUAAGAACCAUAGCGCGGAAGACCUUACCCCACAGGGAGAACGGCCCGCCUACCGGUGCCACGACUGGCGGGCCUCGAGCCACCCCGCGUCGAGGCUCCAGGCCCCUCACGAACGGGUGCGGGCCUCGGCUCAGCAUCUCCUACCGGGCGAGUGCCAGGGCUAGCGCUCCUGCGGCUUGUUUCUCCCUUGCCAGAAGCCGUGGCACGGCCACGGGUCAACGGUCCCAUUGCCUGGGGCUUAGCUCGAUCGCACGUCUUUGGCGCAGGGGGAGGCUGGGGGCGCGGGAUGGACCGACCCCGCCCAAGCGUGGGAGGGGUAUCAGCACGGGAGCGGCGAGGCGACGACUCCCUCUGCUGCCUCUCAAGAGACCUGCUCGGCCCCUCCUUUGGCGCUCCCGUCCGCGGAGCGUCGGCAUCAGCACAAGGCAGACCCUCGAGGAUCCUGUCGAGCCACGACGCCAUCCCCUUAGAGUCGUCGCUGCUGUCGUCGCCGUCGCCGCCAUCGUCCUCAUCAGGGGACUCUUCCUCAGGCUCCCCCAUCUGCCUGGAUUUCGCUCGGCGCGCCUCCAGCGCUUGGCGCUCAAGGUUCUUUUUCUUCUCAUUUUUCUUUUUUAAGUCCAAUGCGGACUUCUACUUUUCUGCGGACUCUCGCCGCCUGUCACGAUCGACCUCGUCGUCCUUCACCGGAGGCCUCGAAGACCGAACAUCGACCGGUCCCUGCGCAGACAAGGACAAAUCUUAAGAAAGAUUGAAGAAGAUUGAGAGUCAAUGUCAUAAGUAGAAAGGAGACUUACCAGGUCAAUCGACCCCGCAUCGGGCCUCAUUGGGAAGCCAUUGACGUGCUCCGGCUGGAAGUCACCAGCGACAGCCGCCCUGACCCGGGCCGCGACCUCGUCGUCCGUCGGAGCCUCGUUUGACAUCCGGCACGCCUCGUGGUCCCGGGACGAGACGUCGGGACCCAUCUCGUCCAUCCUCAGCGGCCGGGACAUCAAUGGGAGAACCCUCCGAUGAUAGACGGCCGAGAGGACAAGAGCGGCGGUCAGGCCUUCCACGCGCAGUUUCUUCAAGGCGUCGAGGAGGGGGUCGAGCCACGAUUGGUGGACUUGGACGAUGCCAUAUGUCCAGUUCUCUGGGCGCUCCGAGAUCAAGCAGCCGGUGUAGACAGGGAAGAGGUCGUCGUCGUUCCUCAAGUAGAACCACUGGGAGUCCCAUCCGGCGUGGUUCGAGGUCAAUCCCACCGGAAUGUACUCGCGCGGCCUCUCUGUCUUGCCGGUCUUCAACACCAAAUUGAGGCACCCGGCCCGUACGGGUUUCCUCACGCCUGUGGUUCCAGUGGGGGCGUUGAAAAGCUCGCCCCGGUAGAGAUGGAGCCACAGGUCCCAGUGGGGCAUCAUCCCCAAAUAGCCCUCAGACACCGCGGCAAAGACCACCGCGGCGGUGAUGGCGUUAGGCGAGAAGUGCUAGAGCUCCACCCCGUAGUGGUGGCAGAGCGCCCGCAUGAAGUGGCUCGGAGGAGAGCCCAGGCCAUGGCGGUGGUAUUUGGCGAAGGAGACCACGUAGCCCUUGGGCGGCCUGGGCUCCCUGUGGUCCGCCGCCGGCACCAUCCACUCUGGCCGUGACGAUGAAGAGCGGGGACGCAGGAGCCCCUCUCUCUCGAGCUCCAGCAGCCGGCGCUUCGUCAUUGACGAUGGGCGCCAGUCAUCAGCGGCGAUGAGCCUCACAGGCAUCUUCAAGUGGGAGAAAAGUGGUUUCACUAGUGCUCGAGGGUGCGCGCGCGAGGAGGCAAGAGAGCUGAGGCGAGAAAGGAGGCGGAAGGCGGAAGGGAGAACGGCAGCAAGACCAAAGGAUAUUUAUAGACGGCACCCACCAACGGACAGAUCCAAUAAACACGGUAACUCCCCCCAUAAAUGCGCCGCCUAACGGUCUUUUUUCCUCCUCACAGACGGGACGCGACGAAUCCUGCGCCGAUACGGUGUCGCAACGGCUCCCGCCUAAAAAGACGCGCCCAACGGGCAAAAAGGCGAACCGCCGCGGCCUCUUCCUUCUCUUGUAAGCCAAGGUACAUAUCUGAAAACCUCGAGAGGUCGCAGGCUGGCCCAUUGAACGGGUUCGACAGCCGAUCUUGAGUACCAGAGUCAGGGAUCCCCAGCGGACGGUCGAAGACCGAGGCCCGCCUCGAGAAUUCGCUGGGGAUGUCCAAGGCAGGGUCAAUACAGUCGAGAGGAAUCCCCCCGAAGGGAGGCAUCGAGCCACUUGACUCUAUCGAACGAGACCAGCAUCCUCGACCACGUCAACCCCGCUUUAUGGGAACGCUCCCGGGCUGCAGCUGACCCCCUCGAAAGGGGCACAGGUUCUCACUUGGACUACCCGUUAGGAGCUCAAUCUGGGGUAAGCGACGCUCACUCCACCGGGAGUACGUCGAGCCCCCUACGCGUAAAACGAAUCAAUCAAAGCCUUCCACAGUGGAUAUCGAGAAGCUUUUUCACAAAUUAGGCAUUAUAGUCCUCGAAGGAGUCAAAAACUCCUCCAAGGACUCGGGGGCUACCCCCGCGGGGUCGCUCGCGCGCCCCCACGGAAACUCAACCGCAAAAUAUAGCCUCCACUCGAGCGCCAGCGCUCAAAUGGAGACUCGGGGGCUAAUGUCGAGGAUAUCAGUAAGGGGUAUCCUGACUGACUUGCAUAACAAGAAAACCCGUACGCGAGUCGAGGCCUCCAACUCGACGCUCUACCCAGUCACACGUAUGGUCAUCGACGACCGCCGCCUCGAAGACGGUAAGGGCGUCGAGCGAACCGAUCAGGGCUCGAGCACCGGCUACCAUCGAACACGGAAACAGGCUCGAGCGAAUCGAGAGGCGUUGAGCGCAAGGACGCCACCAGCCGCCUGACGCGGGCACGGAAACCAGGGCAUUUAAUGUGCCUGCCGCGUUCUCACCUAACCUGCAGGUCACGGGAAGCGUGAUAGGGAACAGGCGCUCGUCCUGUCUUUCUUUUUGUACGCUUCCCCACCAAACAAGUCAGAGCAUGACAGGAUGCAGGACGCAAUGUCGGAACGUCUAAUCAAGACCCCCUCGAGACACCCAAGGUCAGCGCUCUGGUUGGAGAACCGUUGCACGACACCCGACCCUCGAGUAGACAUGUUUCCUUCCUGAGGAAGGGUCGGGCGUCGACUGACAGCACUUCCACCGCUCUGGCAUAGCUGCCACCACGUCGUACAAGCGUGCGACAUAUGAAUCAGCCCAGGACGGCGCGCAGAGCAGGAUACUGGGGCACGCGUAAUCAUCAUCAAGCUACCGGGACAAGAUGGCUCGAGACCACGCCGGUACGGAGGGCUCGAGUAGGUCAGCGUGCCAUGCCUCUAUCGACCCCUACUCUGACGCCUAUACAUGUACCCUGGGUCUCUCCUUGGAACUAUAAAAGGGGAAGCCCGGGAACGGAUACGAGACACGCGACACAACACAAGACACCCGUAGUAGAGCUACUUCAUCCCAGUUCAUCUACACACGCUUGUAUUCACCCCUGUACAAGCACUUAGGUGCAAAAUAAUACAAACUCUCCUCCCCCUCGCUGGACGUAGGACCUUUUUUUGCCCGAACCAGGAUAAAUCUUUGUGCCUUUUUGCAUCACCAUCUGGGAAAGGGAACACGCAUACAAAUUUACUAGUUGGUGUGACCCCCCGGGGGAAAAACACCAACAAUAUUCACCCAUUAGCUAGAGGAUGAAAACGGGUCCAACUAAACUUUAGGUAGUCAAAUUAGGUGUUUGGCUGGAGUGGAUCCAAACAGGACAUAAAUCUACACUUACAUUUUUUUAUCUAUCGUCAUAAAAAGGUGAUCCUAAAGCAUCCCAUUCUAUUGCUUCCAAGUUCCAAUUAGACCCGGGAGCCUGUUCGCUUGUCUUAUAUGUCAUACUUUUUUGUUAGUUAACUGUAUUUUUCUUUCAUAAUAAAUCAGCGAACAAUAUUUUUAGCUAUGACUUUUCAGACCAGCAAAUAGACUAGUGUGUUUGAUUUAACGGUUGGCUCCGCUUGAGUUAGUCCAUUGAAUUUAUAUGGAUUGAUUGCAUGUUUGCCUAGAGCUACUGCUACACGCUGGGGCGAAGCUAUAUUGUAAUUAGAGGGUGCAAAUGCACCCCGUCAAAAAUUAUAAAAAUAAUGAUUAGGUUUAAAAUUUUAUUAUAUAUGCAUCGCAAUGUCUACGCACUCACAAGCUAAAUGCACACUUCUCUAAUUUGUUCUAGCUUCUCCACUGGCUACACGAAAUAGGUUGGCAGAUAAGUUCAUGCUAGCAAGCAAACCAGACAACAACGUAGGUUUGGAUCAUUCCAAGAUUGAUUGGUGCUGCAAACCAAACACGCUCUUAUCCGAAUAGUGAAAUGCAAACCUCGUGAAAAGAUUUCACGAGCCGAACUUGGUUUGAUUUUUGUUUGCCCGUAAAAACUCGUAGCUUUUUUUGUCCACGAAAAUGCUGAGAACUACUUGUCUUGUGUACUGACUUCUACUAAGUUCUAAGGCACUCAUUUUUCGCCAUUAAUAUUUAAAAAGCUACUGUAACAAUAUGGAUAGCUAGCACUGGAUGGAGAGCGGAGUUUAAUCACCAGCCGAGUUCGUACCGUAGUCCUCCUUGGCUCCCCAGUCACCAUCACGAGGUCCGUACUGUAGCGUAGUACGCUACAAACGACGGCGGUCGGCGGCCAGCACAACAUGGAUCGCACGCAUCGUGAAGCGCACGCGGUGGCCGGGAUGGUGUGGUGUUCCGGGCUUCCGGCCGGUGGCGGUGGCCGCCCACGCGACUCGGCAGCAUCUGUCAGCUGGGCCCGCGAGCUCGCCGUCCUCGUGCAGCGCUGCGCGCGAGUCACGUGCACGGAUCCCGGCCCCGUGUGGCCGUGGGCCUCGUAAUUCCUUUCCCUAGUAGUACCUGCACAGCAGGUGGGAUAGCACGUGCUCGGCCCAGUCAGAUGUGGCACCCGAGCGCCACUGCCUCGUGGGACCCGCUGUAAUUGUCAGUUUCGUGCAGCCAAAAACAACUGCUCUGUUACCGCUGCAUGAACGGAGCACAGUCACUGGGCUACACGACAGCUAUACCACUCAGGCCUCGCCCAAGGCUACGCCGUGGAUGUACGCCGUCUGGCUCAGUCUCUAUGUUUGGCGUUGUUUAGGCCUUGUUUAUUUCUAAAAAAUUUUGCAAAAUAUAAACGGUAACAUUUUCGUUUGUAUUAAUAGUAUCUAACCAUAAACUAACUAAGUCUAAAAGAUUCGUCUCACAAAUUACAGAUAAAUUAUGUAAUUAAUUAAUUAUUUUAUCUAUAUUUAGUGCUCUAUGUAUGUACCGCAAGAUUCGGGCCUUGUUUAGUUUGCAAAAUUUUUGGGUUUUGGCUACCGUAGCACUUUUCUUUUUAUUUGACAAACAUUGUUCAAUCAUGGAGUAACUAGACUCAAAAGAUUCAUCUCACAAAUUAUAGGUAAACUGUGUAAUUAGUUAUUAUUUUCGUCUAUAUUUAAUGCUUCAUGCAUGCGACUAAAGAUUCGAUGUGACGGAAAAUCUUGAAAAUUUUUGCGAACUAAACAAGGCCUCGAUGUGAUAAGAAAUAUGAAAAAUUUUGAAAAAUAUUUUUGGGAAUUAAACAAGACCUUAGUUCCAAAAAAUUUUGCAGAAUUUUUUCAUUCUUCGUUAUAUCAAAUCUUACGACACAAGUAUGGAGUAUUAAAUAUAAAUAAAAAAACUAAUUGUACAAUUUAUUUAUAAUUUAUGAAACAAAUCUUUUAAACCUAGUUAGUCUAUGAUUAGACAAUAUUUGUCAAAUACAUAUUUUUUUUCUCUCCCUCUAAGCACUUUUGUAAGAGCUUGUACAGUAUGGUCUUAGAGGCGGCGAUGAUCUAGAUGGUGAAGAAGCUUAGCUAGAGUAGUUAAAGAGAAAAUAAAGGAUGUUUGAUCAUAUAUGAAUGUACAUUUCAAUACAUUUUUUUUAUAACUCAAAAUUUAUUCAACACGUUUUGUGGGAUAUGAAGUUUUGAUUGGACAAAAUCACAAAUAUUGUCCAAUUAUAGACUAAUUAGACUGAAAAGAUUUAUCUCGUAAAUUACAGAAAACUGUGUAGUUAGUUAUUUUUUAUCUAUAUUUAAUGCCCCAUGCAUGUGCCGCAAGACCUUUUUUAGUUCCCCUAAAAAAUAAACUUUUCAAGAUUGCCCGUCACAUCGAAUCUGCGGCACAUGCAUGAAGCAUUAAAUAUAUAUGAAAAUAAAAACUAAUUAUAUAGUUUGUCUGUAAAUCGUGAGAUAAUAUUUUGAGCCUAAUUAGUCCAUGAUUAAACAGUAAUUAUUAAAUAAAAACAAAAUUGCUAUAGUACCAAAAAUCAAAAAAAUUCCAAAACUAAACAAAACCUUAGUAAAGCCAUCAAAAUACAAAUAAAUCAUACGGCAGCAACGAGAUUGUACAGCGCAGCACUGCAAUGUGCUGUGCGUCCGUGCUUGCCUUCAUAAAAAUUGGCGCGUAAUCCUGAUCUCGUCGAGGAAGCCGCAGCUCAGCAUCCAGGAACCCUCCGUCGGCCCCACCAGGCACCGUCCACGUGGACGGAUCGCCACGUGUCCCCAUCCCAUCCGUGGAGGCAACACGUGUGCCCGCGCCCCUAUAAGUAGGCGCGCUUCCAAAUUUGGCCGGCGCCGCGACAAGAGGCGAGACGAGACGAGAGCCACAGCGACGAACCCCAACCAUCGUCUGCGUGUCCAUUUCCAUUCCUCCCCAUCCAGGUUGUUCGCUCCGUCCGACAAGCAACCUAGAGAAGAUGGCGCCGCCGCCGCCGCGCCGACGACGGAUGCUGUCGCUGCCGGCGGUGUGCCCGUGCGAGGCCAUCGCGCCGGCGCCGCUGCUGGCGUCGCUGCUCUCCCUGGCCGCGGGCGUCGCGGGUCUCCCCGCCGCCGCCGACGUGGACGCGCUCCCGGCGCUCCGUGGCGCGGCUAGCGAGGCCGUCCGGAUCGCCGGCCUCCUCCUCGCGUUCCUCGACGGCAUCCGCGUCCCGGACGACGAGGCAGAGGCGGCCCCGGCCGUGCUCGUGCUGGGGCUCUCGGAGCUGCACGUGGCGCUGCAGAAGCUGCGGCUCCUGCUCGCUGACUGCGCCCGGAAGGGGGCGCGCCUGUGGGUGCUCAUGAACGCGGACCUGGUGGCGUCCGAGCUCCGGGUGAUUCUGGGCUCCGUCGCCACGGCCAUGGACGUGCUGCUGCCGGCGGGGGACGUCAUCAGGGCGUCCCCCGACGCCGAGGAGCUCGCGGGGCUGGUGUCCCGGCACGCGCGGCGCGCGGCGGCGCGGCUGCGGCCGGACCCGGACGACGACCGCGCGGCGCGGGCCGUGCGCUCGGUGCUCGCGCGGUUCGCCAGCGGCGCCACGCCCGACGCCGAGGACGCCAGGCUCGUCCUCGACCGCGUCGGCCUCGUCACCUGGUCGGACUGCGCCGAGGAGGCCGCGUUCCUCGAGGCCGAGCUGCUGGACCGCCUGGAGACCGGCAGCGACGACGACAACGACCUCGUGCUCAUCACCGGCCUCAUGGCGUUCCUGCUCUACUGCCGCGUCGUCUUGUUCGACCGCAUUGAUGAUUCCGGUUCAGGCAAGGUCGACAAGGCCGCCGCCACGGCGGGGAACAGGGUCACCCCGCCGAGGUUCAACCUCAGCGUCAACCCGGAGGCGCUGCAGUGCCCGAUCACGCUGGAGCUGAUGACGGACCCGGUCACGGUGGCCACCGGCCAGACGUACGACCGCGCGUCCAUCAAGAAGUGGAUCAAGAGCGGGUGCCGGACGUGCCCCGUCACCGGCGAGAGGCUCCGCAGCGCGGAGCUGGUGCCGAACGUGGCGGCGCGCGGGGUCAUCGAGCAGCUCCUCCUCAGCCGUGGCGUCCCUCUCCACGAGCCCAGCAGCAAGCACCGGUACGCGGUCGACAAGACCGCCACGCCGUUCGGGGCCGCCGCGGCCGGCGGCGUGCGCCUCUCCGCGGCGUUCCUGACGGCGAGGCUGUCCAGCGGAGCGCCCGAGGCGCAGCAGAGGAAGGCGACGCACGAGGCCCGCAAGCUGUCGAAGCGGAACGUCUUCUACCGGGCGUGCCUCGUGGAGGCCGGCGCCGUGCCGUGGCUGCUCCACCUGCUCUCCUCCAUGGACGCGUCCGUGCAGGACAACGCCGUGGCGGGGCUGCUGAACCUGUCCAAGCACCCCGACGGGCGGCGCGCGCUGGUGGAGGCCGGCGGGCUGGGUCUCAUCGUGGACGCCGUGAACGUGGCCGCCAAGGUGGAGGCGCGGCAGAACGCGGCGGCCGUGCUGUUCUAUCUGUCGUCCAACCCGGAGUACUGCGAGGAGAUCAGCCGCAUCCCGGAGGCGAUCCCGACGUUGGUGCGCCUGGCGCGCGACGGCGCGUACCGGGGCCGGAAGAACGCGCUGGUGAGCCUCUACGGGCUGCUCCAGUGCGCCGACGCGCACGGCAAGGCGGUGUCUGCGGGCGCAGUGGACGCGCUCGCCGGCCUGAUGCUGGCGGGGCGCGCGUCGUCCACCGGCGGAGACGACGACGACCUCGCCGUCGACGCCGUCGCGCUGCUCGCGAGGCUCGCGGAGCAGCCGGCGGGGGCGCGCGCCGUGGCGGCGAGCUCGGAGCUGGUGACGAGGCUGGUGGACUUCCUCGGCGAGGCGGCGUCGCGGUCGGCCAGGGAGCACUGCGUGGCGCUGCUGGCGUCGCUGGGCCGGCACUGCGGGGACAAGGUGCUGGCGCUGCUGGGCAAGCUGCCUGGCCUGACGCCGGCGCUGUACGCGCUCAUCGCCGACGGGACACCGCAGGCGGGCAAGAGAGCGCGGUGGCUGGUGAAUGAGAUCCACCGCCACUACGAGCAGCGCCAGACUCCGGCGGCGUCCGCGCCAGCGCCGGCGACCGGCGACCGUGUCAUCCGUGUAUAGGUGUUGUGUAUAUUAUAUGGCGACCAAAGUUUGUUCUUUUCCCGGCUCGAGUUUUUUGAAGAGUCGGGACGGGAUCUCAUCUGAUAUUGAUUUCGUGUGGUGAGGCGUACAAAACCAAGCCAAAUACAAAUGUACAGAGAGCACUUUUUGUGUCUGAUAUUUGUGUACCGCAAAUAUAUGAAUGAAUGUACAGAGAACAGUUGUAAAGACAAAUGGUUCGCGAUGAUAGUGUGCUGUUUUUGUCUUUGGUCAGUUCCUGAUGGAUUGGCAGAGAGGGCAGGAGGGAGUGGCAUGCAUGCAUGUUUUGUGAGACUUCCAGUAAGGCCCAACUUAAAAUUUUUUAAGAUUCCUGUCACAUCGAAUCUUUAGAUGUAUGCAUAAGGAAUUAAAUAUAGACGAAAAUAAAAACUAAUCGCAUAGUUUGAUCGAAAUUGACGAGAUGAAUUUUUAAGCCUACUUAGCCUAUAGUUAGACAAUAAUUACCAUAAACAAAUGAAAGUGCUACAGCGUCGUGAAUUUUUUUUCUUCGAGAACUAAAUGAGGCCUAAGCAGAGGAGAGGAGUCGUCUUGUGUCGGCAAAGGAUGUUCUUGAUGAUUGCAUCCGCGUGAUUUGGUUGGGAUUUGCAGCUCCGGAGGGUGCAUCCUUUUGUUUUCAAUGCUGCAUGCACAAACAUCCAAGGAAAGAAUGUUUUGGGCUUAGAGUUCCAGGUGUUCUUUUUGUGAGACGGCCAGUAUCACUGGGAGUUUCACCAAGAUGUCAUGCACAUUUAUUAGAGUGCUAUGUCAGUAAAACUGCACUUUUUGCAUGAAACGAAGAGGAGAAAGAAGGAAGUAGUUUCACCAUGGUGAAACUCCACGGGCAUUGUUUCCACACGGUGAAACGAGAUAAAAUCUCCACUAAGGGCUAAAUCGUUUCACCAUCUUGCAUGUGAUCCAAUCAUUUUGCAGUAAUUAAAUGCUUUGUCUAGCUUAGGAAACGUCAAGGUAAAAUUCAUGCAUUGUGGAAGUCAUUUCAUUAUUCGUUUCAUUGAUGUCCUGUCAGCGGAUUUGUUUUGAAAACAGUGCAUUAAAACAGGCCAGGGCCUAUGUUGUGGAUUGCUGGAGUACCUUUGGAAGUUGUGCAGAAGAAUAGGCUCUAGGAAAGCUUUUCAUACAAAAAAAAAAUAGCCCGUCUAGCUCAGUCGGUAGAGCGCAAGGCUCUUAACCUUGUGGUCGUGGGUUCGAGCCCCACGGUGGGCGUUUGCUGUCUUUCUUUUUAAUCUUUCUAUUUUCAGCUUCUGAUUUUAAGGCCAAACAUCAGCACGUUCGGUUCUACGGUUUUUAACACAAAUUCUUUCUAUUUUCAGCUUCUGAUUUUAAGGCCAAACAUCAACGGUGGGCGUUUGCUGUCUUUUUUUAUUCUUUCUAUUUUCAGCUUCUAAUUUUAAGGCCAAACAUCAGCACGUUCGGUUCUACGGUUUUAAACACAAAUUCAGUUCUUUAUGAAUAGAGACUGAUCAGUUCUUUAUAAAUAUUGAAACCGAGCAAAAUCGAUUUUGGUUAGUUCGGUUCGGUUCCAGUUCCGAUCGAACUAACCAAAGAUUUAUACCAGCAUAAAAAAAGAAUAAGAAAAAUAGGAAAAAAGAUUAAAAAAACAAGAUGCCUAUAUAUUUUAAAAAUGUGAGGGCAUGAGGCUAUGAUGAGGUGUCAUUCACCUUUUAUAUCUAGGGUUAAGGUGGUAUUAGGCCUAUGUUAUAAGUUUUAUUGGACUUGUUGUGUUAAUUUCGGUUCUUUUUGGUUAACCGAGCCUAGGAACCAAAAUUUGAUUGGUUAGUUCGGUUCCUAAGAACUGAGAACCUAACAGUUAACCGAAAAUUUCGGUUUCGAUUCUUUCAACUUCGGUUCCGCUUAUUUUGGUUUCAAUUUCUCGGUUAUUUUUGCCUUGGUUGAGUAUUCAGUAUUCACCCUCUUUGAGUUUUGAAUUUCAGUUCUUGAAGAACCGAAUAUGAAUGUUUCUUCAUGAAUGUUUUGCAGGAUUAACGUCCUUUCGAAAUUUCUAAACUGGAAGGCAGAUUUUGAACUAGUUAUUGGUAUAGAGAUGGAUCAAAGUUUCUGCGAUUUUCCAUUCCACUUUUUACGAAGGGAAAUAGAUUCUUUUAAAUUAAAUUGAGAGCAAAAUUACGUCCCUAUAUUUACAUACAAGGUUUUGGACAAUAAAAAAGAGAUGUUUGAGUAAAACUAGGGACCCUAAUAAUGAUAUUCACAUCCAAUCUAGAGCCCCAUUGGAUAAGCGAGAAUAUAAUCUUACAAGUUGGCCUAUAUAAAGUUGAAUGUGAAAAUCAAGACAAUAAGUAUAUAGAGCCUAUUGGAUUUUUUAUCGUAACUUCCUCCGUUACAUUUUAAUGAUGCUAGAGCUUUUUAGACGGUUGGUUAGUUCUCUAUUAUAACUUUGACACGUUACAUUUUUUUAUUAUCCUAUCCCAUGCAUUAUAGACUCAUUUAUUUUUUGCCAAACUUUGCUACAAGUGUAAUUUUGAUUUUGUUCACCAUUCACUUUUUUAUGGUAACCACGUUACCUAAGGUUAGAUAAGGCAAACUUCAACACCAACCAUACUAUAUCCAUUGGUGUAAGAUGUACUUUCUUUGGUUUUGAUGUAAGAUGUAUUUUGGUAGAGCACAAGGAUAAAGUAACUACUUAUGGCUCCUUUGGAUCAACCAUUCCCGCAGUAGAUUACAGGAGAUUGAGGGGAAACACCCCUCAAUCCCCUAUAAUCUACCGGUGGAAAGAAGGCUUAAGGACCUACGUGCUGCUUCCAGUCUCUCUUCUGCAAGAGUGUUUUUUUUUUGACUCUCUUCUGCCAGAGUUGAAAGAGAGCUGAUGAGGUGAAGUGGAUGCAUCGAAGCCAGCAGGCAGUAGCAGCAGCAGACCACUCACUCGUUUGUAUUUUUUUUUGACUCUCUUCUUCUAAUUUUUUUUUUGUGAAAUAGAAAUAGUAGCACUUUCGUUUGUAUUUGACAAAUAUUGUUCAAUUAUGGACUAACUAGGCUCAAAAGAUUCGUCUCGCCAAUUCCGACCAAACUGUGCAAUUGUUUUUUAUUUUUAUCUAUAUUUAAUACUCCAUACAUAUGUCUAAAAUUUCGAUGUGACGUCUGGAAAAUUUUGCAAAAUUUUUAGGGCCACAGCACCGAAGCCAAAACGAAUCAAGUGAAACCAGCAGCCAAUAGAGCGCCGGCACCCGCCGCAGCUUCUUCGGUGUGAAGUCAGCAGCACGGGCAGCGGUUGUUUACUCCAUAGACGAAUUUCAUAGGAAUAAUAAGGUUUUGGCUUUGUUUACUUCCACCCAAAAACCCAAAAUUUUUCAAAAUUUCCGGUCACAUCGAAUCUUUAGACACAUGCAUGAAGUAUUAAAUAUAGACGAAAAUAAAAACUAAUUGUACAGUUUGGUCGAAAUUUACGAGACGAAUGUUUUGAGCCUAGUUAGUCUAUGGUUGGACAAUAUUUGUCACAUACAAACAAAAGAGUUACUGUAGCAAUUUUGCAAAAAAUUUGGGAAGUAAACAAGGCCUUUGUUUAGUUCCAAAAAUAUUUCGGUUUUUGGGACUAUAGCACUCUCGUUUUUAUUUGACAAACAUUGUCCAAUCAUGAAGUAACUAGGCUUAAAAGAUUCAUCUCGCGAUUUACAGGUAAACUGUGCAAUUAGUUUUUAUUUUCAUCUAUGUUUAGUGCUCUAUGCAUAUGUCGCAAGAUUUGAUGUGACGAGAAAUCUUGAAAAGUUUUUGAACUAAACAAUGCCUAAAUACUUAUAUAAUGCUACAGUUUGUCCAUUUCUACAGGGAGUGUCCAUAUUUCAGUGCUUCAUGCGCCAGCGCGCAAGCGUGUCUCGUGACCGACGCCAGUGCUGCCCAUUCCUGAAUAAACCAUCCUACCCAUAGUUUGUAACACACAGAUAUAUUUACUAUUGUAUGUACGUGCACACCUUACAUGCAGUAACGUUGUAGCAUGUCCAUGCAUUAUAGUGUAGUAGAUAAUAAUAUGUUUAUGCAUGCUAGAUGAGUGUGGGUAACAUGACUGGGAAUUUGAGGAUUUGUCUCAUGAUGAAUGCGGUUUGUUCGGUUGCCAAAAGGCAGCUUCCCCUGAUUGAAGGAUGGAGAUCUGCUUCAGGGAGCGUGGACGGCCGGAUUAGCAGCACCCCACGAUGACGACGUGGCGUGCACUCGACACCAGCCUGCACACGCUCGACCGCUUCCGUGCACACGUCAUAUUGGAAUUCCGCGCUGCUUUGCGCACGGAGAGAGAAAGGAAUCAGCGUUCUCUACUCCCGUGGGCAUUGCUACGUAGGCCUUGUUUACAUGCAAAAAGUUUUGGGAUUUUGACACUGUAGUAUUUUUGUUUUUAUUUGACAAAUAUUGUCUAAUUAUAGAGUAACUAGGCUUAAAAGAUUCAUCUCGUGAUUUACAAGUAAACUGUGCAAUUAGUUAUUCUUUUUAUCUAUAUUUAAUACUUCAUGCAUGUGCUGUAAGAUUCGAUAUGACAGAGAAUCUUAUAAAGUUUUGGAUUUUUGGGUGUAUCUAAACAAGGCCAUACUCUCUCCAUUCCAAAUUACAACACAUUCUAAUAAUCUUGAAGAAUCAAAGCAUUUUAAGUUUAGUUAAAUUUAUUUAAUAAAAUAAUAUUAUUUAUAAUAUUAACUACGUAUUAUUAGGUUUUUUAUUAUUAUAUUUUUAUAAUAUAUCUAUUUGAUAUCACAAAUCAUUAUAAUCUUUUCUAUAAUUUUAGUCAAUUUUAAAAUAUUUUUAACUCUCCAUGAUUCUUGGAAUGUCUUAUAAUUUGAAAUGGAGAGAGAGUACAAAUUAGGCCUUGUUAAUGUUUAGUUGAGGAGGUAAAAAGUUUUUAGCUACUAUAGAUUUUCGCUUUUAUUUGGCAACUAUUGUCUAAUCAUGGACUAACUAGGCUUAAAAGAUUUGUCUCAUAAAUUAUAUGCAAACUGUGAAAUUAAUUAUCUUUUAUUAAUAUUCUAUGUAUAUGCACAAGAUUCGAUGUGACGGAGAAUCUUCAAAAGUUUUUUGGGUUUUGUAGUGAACUAAACAAAGCCUUAAUCUUACCUAUAAGGAGGUAAGAUCUCAAAUCAAUAUGAGCCAUUGAUUUUUCAGAUUUUAUGAAUUACUUAAUAAAUUAAAAAAGUCCGAAAAAACCUGCUAGAAAAAGAGAAAAAAACUUCUCUAGAUCUCGUAAUCUUGGGAUAAGGCCAGUCUCAAUGGAUAGUAUCACUGUAUGGUUUCACAUACCAACACGUCAUCAAGAUUGAAAUGAAACCAUCUCUGAAAUAACACUAGCAAUGAAGCAUUUCACUUUGUUGUUUCUAAGGCUAAGCAAAGCAUUUAAUUACUGCAAAAUGAUUGGAUCACAUGCAAGAUGGUGAAACGAUCUGGCCCUCGGUGGGGAUUUUAUCCCGUUUCACCGCGUGGGAAACAACGCCCGUGGAGUUUCACCAUGGUGAAACUACUUCCUUCUCUCUCCUCUUCGUUUCAUGCAAAAAUGUAGUUUUGCUGAUAUGACGCUCUAAUAAAUGUGCAUGACAUCCUAGUGAAACCCACACUGAGACUGACCUAACAUGGAAGCGGGCUGGCCAUCCUUGGUAUACAUGUAUGAUGAUUCAAAAAAUAUGUUACCCACAUGAGAAAGAUUAGCUACCAACCAGAGUUCAAAAAAUGUUUAACACGUUAGCUAACACAGGUAACACAUGAGGUAUACGUACAUGCAUGAAAAAAUGGAUCAGUUAGAGCAUCUCCAAAGGCCUCUUCAAAUCAGUUUUGCAUUUGAGGUUAUUUGCAAAGUUUGAAUACAAAAUGCAAAGCCUAAAAAGAUGUCUAUUCCAAGGGCCUUUGCAAAACUGACUUGGCAUACUCUAUUUGGAGCCGGCGGCGCUUUUUUUUGGCGCGCUGCUUUUUUGUUUGGCGCGUGAACCUCCGUUGCCGCCGUCGUGUCCCGUUGCCGCGGAAAAGAAAACGCGGUGCUCGUGUCCCGUUGUUGCCGCCAUCUGUUCCCGUUGCCGCGGAAAAAAAACGCGACGCGUCAACCUCCGUUGUCGGUUGUCACCGUCCCGUCUCCCGUGGUCGCCGUCGAGAAGUUCAUCAGAUCGUCCCAGGUCGCUGCUGCCUUGGACGGCUUCCAGAACGAAGUUGCUGCUGGUCACGAUGCCGCCACCGACUCCAUCAAACAGGCUUGCACUGCGGCUCGCCAAUGUUUGUUCUGCGUGAAUUCUUGUGUCCGUCCAUUAAUUUUUUCUAUUUUGUUCAAUGUUGUGAGGCGCGUAAUUGUUCUCAGCUGCGGCGGAAGAGGGCUUCCAGAUCACGUCUUCGGAGACAAUUGGAUGACGAGUCUUCAGAAGACAAUGAUUUUUUUUAUGUGCGCAGCUGCUCGGAUUCUGCACAAAUUUUCUAGUAAAAAACAAAGACAUGCUGGUUCAGUCCCUGGGCAUGCUGUCAUUCAUCGCGAUAGAGAAGGCGGCCACCAGAGGAUGUAUCAGGAUUAUUUAGCGAAUAAUCCUACCUAUGGUCCAGAUUUAUUCCGUCGGAGGUUGUUGUUCUUUCACAUUAGAUAAUUUCAUAUUAUUUGAUUUUUUUAUGUCAAGGUGUUGAACUAUUAUUUGUUGUUUUCAGAUUCAAAAUGAGGAAGCCCCCUUUUCCUACGCAUCAUGACAGCUGUUGAAGAACAUGAUCAUUACUUUGUACAAAAAAGGAAUGCGGCAGGUAAAAAGGGUCUUAGUUGCUUCCAGAAAGUUACUGCUGCUCUUCGAAUGCUCACAUAUGGGGUUUCUGCUGAUGCCACGGAUGAGUAUAUUCGCAUUGGCGAAAGCACUGCUCUUGAGAGCCUUCGUAAGUUUGUUAUUGCAAUCGUAGAAAUUUUUGAGGCAGAAUAUCUGAGACACCCCACUGAGGCUGACAUAGCACGCUUGCUAGCGGUCAAUGAGAAAAGAGAGUUUCCGGCAUGUUAGGGUCCAUCGAUUGUAUGCAUUGGGAAUGGAAGAAUUGUCCGAUGGAAUCACAGGGCCAGUACAAGAGGCAUGAGAACAAGCCAACUAUAAUUUUAGAAGCUGUUGCAUCUUAUGACCUUUGGUGUUGGCAUGCAUUUUACGGGAUGCCUGGUUCUCAUAAUGAUAUCAAUGUUCUUCAUCGGUCUCCUCUGUUCGACAACCUGGCAGAAGGUAGAGCUCCAGAGGUUAACUAUACAAUUAAUGGCCACGAGUACAAUAUGGGGUACUUCCUCGCAGAUGGUAUUUACCCCCCAUGAGCGACUUUAGUCAAGACCAUCUCAGCACAAGAAGCAGCAAGGAAGGAUGUUGAAAGGUUUUUUGGGUCUUGCAGGCAAGGUUUCCUAUCAUUAGACAACCAGGUCGCAUGUGGGACAGGGAGACACUUGUGUUGAUCAUGAGGGCUUGUAUUAUCAUGCACAAUAUGAUUGUUGAAGAUGAAAGAGUCGUCGACCCCGAUGAGCGGUUCCCGGAUGUUGCUGAAAUGUGCGUCCUUCUCAUGGCACGCCUACUCACCCACUUGCUGAAUUUAUCGAGGCACAUAAAAAGAUCAGAGACAAGCCAACACACUUCCAGUUGAAAGAAGACCUCAUCGAGCAUCUAUGGAACUGUCAUCCUGAUUUAUACUCCACACAACCAGCAUUAUGAUUUAUUUAGUUCAUAUUAUUAUUUGUCAUAGUUUUUUCAUUCAAGGGCAAUGAACAAUAUGUACUUCCAUCGAUUUAUUAGCAUGUGAACAAAUGUAUUAGCAUCUAUUUAUUUGAUUCUGAAUAGUGUAGUCCGGACGUGCAUGGUCCUGUAGCAAUGAUCAACGUCGUUAUCAGGUAGCAAUGAUCAACGUCGCUAUCAGGUAGAAUUGAACACUAUCACAAGCAUUCGAAGAGCAUAUCUUUCAAUAACAAAUAAUAUAGCAAAUUGGCCACACUGAAUGAAUUGAAAUAAAGCACGUCCAGGUAUCACAAAAGCACGCCAAAAUAAAAUAUAAAGUGACAAGGGAAAUAAUGGUUCUGCAACUAAAGUGGGAAAAUGAAUAGCUUUGUUCAAACUGAAACUAAAACUAAAGGUUGUAACGCGCAAGGAUCUUCUUCUUCAUUGCGUUGUGCCACUUGAGCUGAUCUUCGUCAAGUUUGCUCGUGUCUGCUAGCAUUAUGUCUUUUUCCUCCUUUAGCAAGUUUGCUUCAGCGACUUUUUCAUCAUUUGCUAAGCGCUUCUUCUCAAGCUCACGAGCAGCUUCCUCCUUUGCCAAGUUUCCUUCACAGCUUCCUCCUUUGCCAAGUUUCCUUCAGCGACUUUGGCUUCAUUUUCCAGUCGUUUCUUCUCAAGCUCAAUAGCAGCCUUCUCUAACUCAAGAAAUUCCUUCUCAACAUUCUUGUCAUCCUCUCUUGCCUUGUCUCUUUCCCUGUCACGUAUCUCCUUCGUUUUCAACAUCUUCUGCAAAACUGCAAGAGAGGCGUCGUCCCGCAUAGCUUGUUUUACCUGUUUCUGCCCCGGUGGCCUCUUACGCUCUUUAGAACCUGGGGUUGCAACCUCUACCACUUCAUCAUUGUUGCUCAAGGGGUCAUUGCUCGGCGUGGACUUCUUGCUAGUCUUCUAUUUUUUGUUCUUCUGAUUUAGUUCAAUCCGCAAUGUCUUCCACUUGUCUUGAUCCUUCAGAAUGUGAUAACAAUGCAUAAGAGUGAACUUUUGCUGCUUGUUCUCGUCGUCUUCUCCAACGUAUGUCUCCAAUGCUGCAUUAAUCUGCACAUGUAAAAUAAUUUUAAAUAUUUAUAUAUUCACAAUUGAACCAAAACUUGGAAUACAAAUGAAAGAACCAAACUACGAAAACUCACCAUGUCCUGGAUAGUCGAUCCACUAGCGUUCCUACGCUCAAUUUUCUCGUAGCAUGAACAAAACUUGUUCACCUCCCUCUGAAUAGUCCCCCACCUAUGCAUAAUAGAAGCCUCUGUCCUAUCAAUGGUAGAUGUCUUUUUGUCCUUGUGUUCGUUAAAGAAUGCACGAAUUCUACCCCAAAAAGUUGACCGAGGUUGAUUCGCACCGACAAUGGCAUCUUUGCUAACUUGCAACCAAGCUGAGCAUAUGACUUUGUCCUCCUCUAUGUCAAAUUUCUUUUGCCUAUGGGAGGCACCCUUUUUAGCACAAUGCACACCAAGAGAAGGAAUUACAGCUGGCUGUGAUUGCGUAGGAUCAACUUGAAAUUCAAAAGAAUCAUUAUUACUACUGAACUCAUUGUCCUGCGUCAGCGAAAAAUUAAAGUCCAAAUCCAAGCCCAAUGCAACAUCACUUGGAUCAGCGUCUGAUGUGAGUAUGCCGGUAUAGUAUCCAACGUCCUCCAUUACAAAGGAAUCUGCUAAUGGAAAGAACAACACAUGUCACUAGAUGAAAACGAAAAUACUACAGUGCCGAAAUCCGAAUUUUUUUCGGAACUAAACAAGGCGAUAGGCAUUCAGGUUUCUAUUCAACAUGAAAAUAAAACAAAAUCGCUGCCACGCCAUCAGUGAGCAGUCCAUCAAUUCACGGCAUAUCUAGUCAUAUCAAGUCAUCACAUCACAACCAUGUCAAGGCAUUAAACCGUUUCUAGCUAGCUAUCGUAUGCAUCAGAUCAGAUCAUAGGCAUUAAACCCUAUCUACUGGUCCACCAAUUCGAUGCAUCAGAUCAGAUCAAUAUGAAGGCAAUAAACCGUAUCUAGCUAUCGUAUGGACUACCUUGAUGAGAUGGAGUCCUCGACAGCCCUGGAGCCGCGGUCACCUGGAGAGCAGGCCGCGUCCGCUGGAGGUCGAGAUGUGAUGCCGUGGAGGUCGCGUCCGCUAGCUAUCGUAUGCAGGUCCGCUGGAGGGCUGAAGCAGUGCCGGCGAUAUGUCCAGAUUGCCGGCGAUAUGUCCAGAUCGCGAGAGAUAGAGGCCAGGGAGGUCGGCGGCCACGGAGUCGGGCGCGAGUCCGCGAGAUAUUCCGCGCGUGCGAGGGGAGCACCGGUAGCGCGGGAGGGGAUUUUGCCAAACCCAGAGUCCUCUGCAUAAAUGCUAAGUUGGGAGGAAGAUUUGCAAAGUUUGCACAAAUGCAAAACUCAUUUGUAAAACCAUUGGAGCCUUCUUUUUAUGGUUUUUUUGCAAAUUAUCAAAUGCAAAACUGAUUUAGAGAAGCCCUUGGAGAUGCUCUGUAGAGAGGGCGCGACCCACCUCACAACGUCCGACCGCUCCGCUCCACCUGCCUACACCUUUCUAUUUUAGGAAUGACACAACCAUCCAUUAGGAGACAACCACCAAUGUCCAGCCAACAGGUGUCCAAAUCUCCUAGGAGAAAUCAAACAUUUAUUUUAAAUUAGUACAACACAUGAAUGCACACUUAAUACAUACUAAGUUGCCUCUCCACACUAAAACACAUGAAUGCAAAAAGCGAAAAACUUAACUAAAAUUGCUAACUGAAAAACUAAACUAUAAAAAAUAAAGUAGACACCAUGACAAAAAAAAGUUCCAAAGAAAAAUGAAACUAAAAGUACAAUAAACUAGAAUUGAAAAUGACAACAAAUAAUAAAAAUGAUUUUGACAAAUCUAAAACUAAAAGUACAAUAAACUAGAAUUGAAAAUGACAACAAAUAAUAAAAAAUAAAAUUGACAAAUAAGUUGUCAUAUGCUUAAUACAUAAGUUACUACACACUUAAUACAUAAGUUGCCUCUCUGCACAAAACAUAUGAAUGCAAAAGGCAAAAAACUAAACUAAAUUUACAAACUAAAAAACUAAACUACAAAAACUAGACUAUAAAACCAAAGUAGACACCAUGAAAAAAUCCAAAGAAAACUAAAAUUGAAAGUAUAAUAAAAAUAACAACAAAUAAUAAAAAAAUAAAAUUAAAAAAUAAGUUGCUACACAUUUAAUACAUAAAUUGCUAAACAUUUGCAUGUAUAUAUAAUGUGGUGAAAGGUUAACAUAUAGGUUCCUACCUGCUUAAUGCAUAAAUAGCUAUUAUAUAUAUAACGUAAAUUACCAGUACAUACAAACUAUUUUGAAAAACAUGCAUUAUAGUCUUAUUUCAAGAAAUUUAAAACUAGAAAACAAAACAAAUAAUUGAGAACUGAGACUAAAAAAAUAAUAAAACAAAAAAUAACUACUAAUUAUGAAAAACAUUACCUGAAACUAAAAUUGAAGCACAUAAAUAAAAAUUGAACAGACCAAUGUGUACAAAAGAACAUUUCUAUGCUGUUCUAAAAUUACCUCACAUGCAGACCUAGUAUGAAGAAGAAAGACCAUAGGAAUAUGAAGCUACCAAACAUAAGUUUCAAAAUUAAAGACUUGUGCGCACUAUCCAUGGAUUUGGCAAGUUUACCUGGACUUGGUACAUCACUAGAAAGUAAUCAAAUCGGCAUCCUUAGGCAACCUGCCACAAAAAAGAUAGCCACAACAAGAUUACUGAAUUAAAUUUAAUUUUUAAGUAACUUGCCACAGAAGCAUAAUCUAAAAGCAACUCCAACGGCUUAGCUAUUCUUAUUAUAGAGGUUAUUUUAGAAUUUGUAUAACAAAAAGUAGGCUCCAACAUAUAUGUUAUCUGGUUUUGUAAAAUAGAAAGUUGACUAUUUCUUGAUUUUCGUUGGCCAUAUAUAGCCAACCACUGACACAAGCUAUCCGAUUUUGUAAAAUAGCAAGACUGUUGUGGAUCUCUUCUUUUUUAAAAAGUUUUCUACUUUAUAAAAUGACUAAACAAUAUAAUUUAGCUACUAAUUUUAGCCAAGCUCUUAGAGUUGCUCUAACUUGCUAGAAAAUUUUGGCUACACUGUGCACUAUACUAAAGACAGGAACCUAGGGUAUUGCAGAAUCAUCAUCAAUUUAUUAAUCAAUACAGAUCCUAAGCUGAAAUCCCAAAAGUUAACACCAUAGGACCAGACUAGGGGUGACCAACGACUGAGGAUUACGACGCCCAUAGAUGAAUACAGAAACCACUGUGUAGUUUUCUCCUGCGAGGGGAAUCAACCUACGAAAACGUAAAAGGAACAUCACCAAAAAGCAAAAAACAUCAGUGUGAAGAAGAACUAAAACAUCGGACAAAAGAAAAAAAUAAAUCGCGAACACAAAUGGAACAGCGACGGGAGGAGUAGGAAGAGGGGAUCACAAUGUCGUGAAGUUGGGAUGACGCCACUAGAGGGACUUUGGAGGGAGGCCAAGGCCACUAUUGGGAUGGCUCGUCGCGGAGGGGUGCGCGACCGGUCGACUGAUAAAGUUUGCGAUAAAAAAUCAAUUACAUUCAAAGUUUGUAAACCAACAGGUGGAACAUGUACAUGCAUCAAAAAACAGUCGCUAACACAACACUAGCUAACAUAAAGGUGUUACAUGCCAAAAAGAACAUGCUAGUUAAAUAUACAUCAUGUCGUUUUAUGUGGUUCUAAGGCCCUCUUUAGUAAGGUUUUGUCCCAACUUCAAGUUCAUUGCGGUUCAUGCAUUGAAGCUACUUACAUCAUAAGCCAUUUGAAGCCCCCAAACACGACCUUCAUCGGCUUCAAUACCUAUCUACAUUUUUCUACCAACGGUUUCACCAGAUUCAAUCUACAAUAACUCAAUAUAUAGUAGCACCACAAUAAACUUGCCAGAUCAACUAGCUAAAGCCCUUUGUAAAGCUAUAUCAAAAGAUCAUAACUCGUAUGAAUAUGGAUCAUGAGUUGUAUGACAUGCAAAAUAGAGAGGAGCAUGAGGGUAUCGUAGGAAUAAAAAAAUAUAGAUGAAAUAAUUCUUUUUGUUUUUAAUACUAGAUACAGACAAGCCGAUCUUGUAGUUAUCUUUUCUCGCUACAAGACAAAUGACUCUAAGGUAACAAUGCAAAAUUUGCUACAUCAAAAUUAGUAGAAAAAAAUAUGGCUUUGAUCAUAAGAAACCCUAACAAAUUUGUACUAGUUAUUACAUAUUAUCUAUAUGUACCCAUGGCAUGUCCACACUUCAAGGAGGUAAGAAACGAUCAAUGGAAGGGUUAAAAUACCUUUUGUUUGUAUCAUGCUUAAGUGCAAGUUUAUAAGAUUUGUGUCGUUAUGUACGAGUGAGAAAUGGAUUCAAGAAUUUUCUCAAUCUACGUGAGAAUAUUUUCUUUUUAAUGCAAUAUUCCUAGACUGUCUUACCUCUUGCAGGUAAGUUUUUUAUAUGCAUCUUUUUUGUUCUUGUUGAAAGGCAUAGAAAACUUCGGGGUGUUCAGUGUGCUAAAAUUUAGCAGGUACAAUAGCUCUUUCGUUUUAUUUGACAAUUAGUGUCUAAUCUAGACUAAAUAGAUUUAAAAGAUUUGUCUCAUAAAUUAUUCUAUUAUUGUGUUUUUAAUUUUGUAAAUAAUCUAUACAUGUAUCUAAACAUUCAAUAUGAUAAGUGUUAAAAAAAACACCACAAACCAAACAGGGGCUUCAUAAAAAAUGCAGACGAAAUUUCCUGGAUGCCUGACUUCACGCCGGCCGGCUGGUGGACCUGAUGAAUGAACAACAUCGAUGGAUGUUAUAUAAUGAUUGCCUCGACAUUAUAGGAGUACAUGUUUUUUUUUUGCGAGUACAUGUUUAAUGAAUGCGUUUCUGAUUCUCCUGUAAUUGUUAAAAGAAUAUCAUUCUUAUACGUAGUUAGCUGGUCGUGGUCUGAUAAUAAUAAUGCGUUCUAACUCCCUAGUUCUUCAUUCCCUUUGAUUUCAGAAAUUUGAUCGCGUCACCAUUUCGUUGUCAGUUUGAACACACUGACAAAUCGGUAGCACAUAUCGCAAUUAAUAUUCUAAAGACCAUCAAUGACACGUGGAUGGCGUGGGAUCUAUUUUUAAAAUGUUUUUGUGAAAUAUUUUCAUCAAGAUUAUGAAGUCCGAUCCGAUGCCGUCCAACCGCGAGACGUUAAUAUUAAAGUGACAUGUGCUACAUGUUCGAGUUUGGUCAAACAAAAGUUUUGAAGACCACUAGAAAAAUAUGAAAAACUUUCUGAAGCUUAUCCUAGUACAUCUAGGCUUGUUUUAGUCAAACUUUCUGAAUUUUAACUAUCAUUAUCUGAGAUUUUAAAGAUUAGAAAUAGAGAUUCAAGCUAGUAAUGGAUUCGCUAGAAAAAAAUAUUUGAUGAAUGUAUAUACUUGGUUUCAAAAUAUUUUUUUUAGAAUGCACGCAGAAAUACUUGUACGACCCUAGUCUAACUGUGCAUGCUAGCAUGUUGCCAAGAUAAGAUGGGAAACAGAUGACAGGAGGAUAAGAAGAAUAAGGCCUUGUUUAGAGCAUCUCCAAGAGACUAGCUAAAAUUAUAUUCUAAAUUACAAGAUUUAGUUAUUGUGUAAAAUAAAAAACUCACUCAAAGCAUAGAGUUCCACAACAGCCUUUGUAUAGGAUAACUAGUGAGGACGACAUGCUAUAUAUGACAAGCGAAAGUUUAAGAAUAGCAAACUUGCUAUUUUAGCAAACCAGAUAGCACAUCUGUUGGAGUUUAAUUUUUGCUUUAAAAAUGUAAAAAUAGCCUAGACAACAUGAUUUUAGCAUAUCUGUUGGAGUUGCUCUACUAAAAAAUUUUCAAAAUUCUCUAUCACAAGACGUAUGCAUAAAAUAUUAAAUAUAUAUAAAAAAUUAAUUGUACAAUUUACCUAUAAUUUGUGAGACGAAUCUUUUAAAUCUAAUUAACCAUAGUUGAACAAUAAUUACUAAAUACAACCAAAAAAUUUCACAAACUAAAUAAGACCAGCAAAGGCUUCAAAGCUUUUGCGGCAAGUUGGGCGACGAUGAAUGGAUAGGGAGGCAAAAUGGAUAGGGAUAUGCAUGUGUUGCUUUGCAUCGGAAUUGAGAUACUUUAAUGGAUUAUGGAUUCUAAUUUUUAGUUUCAAGAUUAUGGACCCCAAUUUCAGUUUCAAGAUUAUAGACUCCACUUUUUAGUUUCAAAAUUUUGAGGAUCUGUAUGAGAAUUACACAAUAGUUUAGGAACCAUCCAUGUAAUUAUGAGCUAUGGAUCUGCACGUUAGUUCCAUACUAAACCAUUACGUGAGAUAAUGAGCUAUGAUUUACCGAUAUGAUUUAUGGAUGUAGAUAUGCAAUAUCAUAGUUUAAAAACCGAGAUAAAAACCGUUCUAUUUGUGUGUGUACUGUAGGCCCAUGGUUCGGUAUAACUAGCACGAGCAAGACUGGCCCAGCCCAAACAUUUCGGUUGAGGCUGGCCCGGACCAAAUAUUGAGUAUGAUAUUCUCUUUUGUUUGCAUAGCUGCAAUUUUCCCCCUUAAUUUAACGCGCUUUGUGAGUCGUAUCCACGUGUUCUACUGUUUGGGUUUUUGUUUAUUACGCCGAUUAAUUAAGAUCGUGUCAAUAUAUUGAAUUGAAGUAUAUUUAACUGACAAAAAUCUCAACCAGAGGAUAAAUUCGAAACUGUUAAGUACUACUGUACGCGUAACGAAGCUCGAAGCAGAUUUGGUACUGUGUUUACCAAAAGUUUGACGAAGACUGAUCAGGAGACAUCAAUCAAUCUUGAUAGAUUGCAGCGGCACCUUAUUUCCCCGUUGCGACAAAAUAGGGAACGCUGUCAUCUCCUCUAUGUCUAUCCAUUAUCCACUCCCAAAGUCAGGAUGGGCAGGGUUUUGUUGCUUUCAUCUCCGUCAUCCAUCACAGCAGAAUCAAAAUUCGGCUGCUCAUAUGGAUUGAACCUGGGCUACUAAUUCCCAGUUAAGACACUGACAUGAAUUCGUUUUGCUGAAAUUUGGCUUAUGCUGACGCUUAUGCUGAAAUGUUGUGAGAUGAAAACACUAUUUGUUCAUUAAAAAGUAUUGCUGAAGUAGUGCAACAGAAUAGAAUAUCGAGUGUUUGCAUAUAGUGAUCAUAAUGUGAAACUUGAUGUCGAGCUAUAGUUCUAAGGCUUCUUCUGGCUCUAGCUCCUUGCUACAAUACCGGUCUACCGCAGAAGCCACAAAACGUGGGUUUUCGGGCAUUCAUUUGAUAGGGGACAGAACAAUGUUGUAGAGUUAUAAGUGCAGAAAGAGACUUAACCCCACAGGCCACAAGUUAUGAUAAACAUGCUUUUUUCCACGCAAGGUCGAACCUCAUUCCCAAUUCAUAGGAAUAUGGCAAACAUGCUAACCACAAGUUAUGGCAAACAUACCCUUGUUAUGGCAAACAUGCUAACCAUGGUUGUUCGUUUGGUUAAUAAGCCAUCGCCAUGAAAACAUUUAUCUGAUGGCAUGAGAGGUACCAUCACCUUUUAGUGGCAAAUAAAAAAAAUCUCCAAUUUUGUUUUUAAAAUUCUGUAAACUUUUUUGUAAAAACUCAAGUUACAUACACCAAAUCAAGGGACAGCGGUUGGAUAUACUUUCAUCAUCUUAUUCACAAGCACAAGUUGGAUAUACAUUUUCAUGUCUAAAAGCAGCAUAAAAACUCAUGCGGGCUGCUAGUGCUGUAGUGCACAACAGGUCUCCACGUCCACUUAUUUUCGACUUUUCGAGUCUUAUGUUCAAAGCAUAUUAUUUAUAUAUGAACAUAUAAAAUCUUCAAAAACUUAAACUUACAACAUCAGUAACAAUUCAUUUACUUGAAAACAUCUGACGGCAUCACGGCACAUAAUUAACACAGUAAUUAUAUGGUGCAGAAAAGGGUCGAAGCCAGGAGAGGAUUUGCUCUUUGCACUUGAUGCAGCCAUCCCUCCACUGAUGGAAAUCAGUUCCAGAACCAGGAUGUCCAGUUGGCCAGCUGCGCCUCCUCGGCGCCAUGGUGGGUGACCCCGGCAGCGAACAUGGCAUCCGGGAGAUCAAAGCUGCAGCCCUCGUCGCUGACCACACCACCAUCCUCUUCCUCUGAAGAGAGGGCACCAUGGCCAGUGAAGUCGCCGCUGCUGUGGAGGUCGUCCUUGAGCUGCUGCACCAGCAGUUUCUCAGUGCCUGACGCAGCGGUGUGUUCGUCUGGCUGGUCGACCUCUUGGGCAGCAGUGGUCGCCGACGGGGAUGUCUCCUUGCGUUGCAGCUUAUCCGUUAGGGAGAUCACCUGUAGUAGAUAUUGCUAAUUGUGUUAAUCACAGUCAUUGAAACAUAUUUAGCUGGCAUUGUGAUCUGAUCUGAUAAAGGGAACCAUCAGCACAUGCUACCCCUGGGUGUGCCAUUUUUCAUAUAAGUUUACAUUUAAGACAAAGCAUGUGACAAUCAGAUAUUUAAGUAGAAUAGCAAUGGUAUGAUUGAUAAACUGUGGUACUGUUAUAAAGAGGCCUUAUGAAAGAUGUUAAUGCCAUCUAUGUAAUUUGCGCAGAUUUCACUGUGCCAAUAUUCGUAUUUUCCUUCAAACAUGAUUAAACUGCAAACUCUUAGUGAGUCUGUAUAUAUUCCCUCUACAAAAUAGUACUAAACAAGCUUUCAGUAACACAACCUAGAAACGUGGAUCAACCAUCCCCAGAUAGCUUUAGAAUUGCGUUGAACUAUUAUCCUUGAAAAGGCCUUAGUGAUUCUCCACCGGUCAAACAAAAAAAUCAAGUGUCAUGUUCAGUCAAAUUGGAUGUUUUAACUAUUUCUACCCAGCAAACAAUUUAGUAGUAUCCCUAUUUUCCAAGUAGUAUUUUUCAUCAGAAAUGGUAUGGGUUAUACUUGCAAGCUAAUCAGUACAAUCUGAUCUAAGUAAAAACUACAACAAUAUAACCAUUGGUCUAACUAAUCCCCAUCUAUUUGGCAUUUCUACCUAAGAAGAAGAAUAUUCAAAUUUCAAGAGAUUAUUAAAAGGGAUGCAUUUAAUGAAGACAGCAUAAGUGUUGUGAUUGUGAAUUCUGUGAACAUUAGUUGCAAUACUUUCCGAAGUUCUAAAACAGAUAAUAGAUAUUGAGGUAGGCAUAUUAAUUACAUCUGAACAUUUUUAAGAUCCAACCAGCCUCAUUCGUAAGGUAUGGAGAAAACAAAUACAGUGAAUAGAGCAAUGAUUGCAAUAUUAAAUUAGGUCAUUAUCUUUCUUUGUAUCUUCUAAAUCUUGACAUGUUUUACACAUAUACUAGAGCACAUCUUCCCUAAAAUCUAGCAUUAGUUUGAUAUUUAAAUCCAGCUCAUUGUCAAACAUUUAGACUUAUUAAAGACAUCUUAAGCUAGACUGUUCAUUUUAAUUAAUAUUUGCACAUACACCUCUAUAAGAAUUGUCACUCAAGUCUAAACUAAACACUUACUUUGAUUUAAUUACAAAGGACCACUACUGUUGCUCAUGACAUGACUGAGUUUAUUUGGUAAUCUGUUUGCAGCAGUUGACAAAAAAUAACAAUACUUCACUAUAAGUUUUUCAAAGGCAUGAUGCAUAGAUUAGAGCAAUUAACUCUUUCACAUCGUAUAGGUUAGCAUAAAUUAUUGGAUUUAGACUUGGGAGACGCACGAUAGGUACCCAAGAUUCCUAAGCACUGCAGAUUUGAAUUGGAUAAUAGAUAAUACAUCCAGUAGUGGGUCGUCGCUGAUGACUACCUAUCGCCAAAUUGAAGGUGACAAAAGUGAUACUAACUUAUUUAAUUUAACAAACAGUAAGCUGUCAUGGGAAGACAGCUUUUUUGGCGCAGAGGCCCUUGAGCUUCCAGAAAAUUUGAAUUCCAUGACCUACGUUUUUCUAGCUAAACCCUCAAAACUCCUUAUAAUCUUAGCGACCUUCAUUACAAGGGGCUGUGAUUGUCGAUUGACAAUUGCUCGGCAUAAAUGUCUUGGAUGGGAACAGCAUACGUAACCAUCAGAAAGACGAGUUGACUAUUUCUCACAGUAAGAAUUAAAUUCAAACUUUGGAAAGAACCUACUGCCAAUAGCAACACUACUGGAUACUGUAAGUUUUUUAUUGUUUUGGGUGUAUGGACGAAAGUUAAUACAUUAUCUAAGCAUGCUCAUCUCAAAGCCAUGUUUCAGUAAUGUUUAUAUCAUUGAUGACACUCACUUGACAUACAUGCUGGGAUUUCAAAACAUCCAAACAACGAUGAUCAUAAACUCAUAUUCAUUAUUCCUCAAUCUUAGCUCUAGUUCCUAGGGAUAUGCACACACCUGCAAUCUUUUUAUCGCACCAUGGGAUGGAACUACAGACAAUGAUCUUUAUUUAACAGAGAGAAGAGAGGCAAAUAAAAAACAUAUAGUGGAACAGAUACCCAAAGAUACCAAUACCAAUUUAACUAUCUCCAACAAUCGUCACCCAAAACAAAAUACAAGACCCAUUUGUCGUUAAAGUAACGCUACAUGUAAAAAGUUCCAUACCUAUUUUUAGUCUUCUUCAAUAACAAGACCUAAAAGACAACAGUCUCUGCAAAUGGGUCUCGAAGAGAGAGGAUACCCAAAUUUGGGUUAUGCCUCUCCUGAUACAUAAAAAUGGGUCUUUAUGGGUAUUCUGUUGGAGGCUUAUAGCAUCUCCAAGAGACUUUGUAUAUUCUUCCUAAAUGCUAGGAAUAGCAAUUUUGGUCAAAAACUACCCUCCAACAGCUUCUCUAAAUGGUUAUCCAAAUAUAACCAUUAUCUAUUCCGGGUUUUUCGCUAGCCAAAUAUAGAAGACGAGAAUGACUUUCUAGAGUGCGUAUGAGAUUUAGCAAAACUGUUGGAAAAUAAAAAAAAUAGAAAGCAAUUUUUUAUGCAAAUGACUCUCCAAACGAUGAUUUAGAGAGUGAGAUUUAGAAAAGCUCUUGGAGAUGCUCUUGGCAAUAGGAACAAGUUCAAGGAUCCGGAUGGCAUUUCCUAUUUAUUCAAUCCGCCUAGGCAGCAGUGCGGCGACCAUCCUAUCCUAACUAACUGGGGAGCGAAGAUGCCUGAACAACGCAUGUGGUAACCGAUGAAAUGAAAUCAAGUAAAAAUCGAUUAGCCGCGGAGACGAAGCGAGGUGAAGAGUCAGUCAGGUACCUGUGCCCGGAGGCUAUCGUUGUCGGCCAGGAGGCCCUGGUGGUCGGCGGCGAGCGCGUCGUAGGCAGCCUUGAGGCGGUCAUAGUCGGUCUCGAGCUGCUUAGUCUUCCAGCGCGCGCGGCGGUUCUGGAACCAGACGGCCACCUGGCGAGGCGCCAUCCCGAGGCGGCGAGCCAGCUCGGUCUUGCGCUCCGGCUCCAGCUUGUUCUCUUCCUCGAAGCUCCGCUCCAGCAGCUGCACCUGCUCCGCCGUCAGACGGCGCUUCUUCUCGGGCGCCUGCUCGUCGUAGUACUCCUCCUCCAGGAGCUCCUCGUGCGUGGUGAAGAAAGGCCGCUUGCCCACGCGCGUCGCGUCGUCCAUGCCCAGGACCGCCAUCGGAACACCUGCGCCACAUCAUGACCACCAGUAAGCAAUCGGGAGGUCUCAACUCAAGAACCGCCAGAUCUGACCGACCCAUGGUCCAGGCAUAGUCACUGACGCACCUCGGAAGAAGCCGUUGCUGUUGGCGCUGCCUCCGCCGCCGAAGAGCAGCAUCUGCGCGCCGCCGCCGCCGCCGCCCCGCCGCGCGCCGCCGGAGUCGAAACUGACCGCGCUCGGAUCCAUGCUAUGCUGAUUCUUGCCCGCGCCCUAGUCCCUUCCUCUCCCCAAGAACGCAACAAAACCCAAUCUUGAAACCCGUACGCCGGUACGCGCGUGCGCGCACACGAACACAAACACAAACACAAACACAAACUUGAACGGAUGCUAGGACCGCGCAGCAGCAGCGGACCGCCGCCGCCGCCGACAACACGAUCGUGGCGGGCUCAGAGGAAGCAGGAGGAGGAGCUGAGCUUAUGGCGGAAGAAGCUAGUGCUCCAGAGCAGCCGCGUGGACGUCUUCAUGGGGUACAGCGAGAACCCCAUGAACCCGCCGCAGGGCAAGGAGACAGGGGGGCCUUCCUCCGGCGAGCGGCUCCUUCCGGUGGCCGGGCGGACCGGCCAGGGGCCGAACUGCAAAUAGAACUUCUGAGGAGGGGGUUGACACGGAGGGACGGGCCGAUGAUGGCAGCUCCGGUGGUGGAUGCCGCUGCAAGUUUUUUUUUUAGACUUUUUUUUGGAUGAAUUUUGUGGCUAAAAUUUAGAGGGUUAGAGAUGACAGGGAUUUAUAGGACGAAGAGGACGGAGGGGGCAAGAUGUGGGCCCGGCCAGGUGUGGUAUUGACGAAAAUGCCCUCACUGUUAGGAUGUGAUGUUGCCUCCUGAUUGGGGGGAUUAGGGGCCUUUUUUUUAAUUAAUUCGGAACAUGAUGCAGUUUUGGGAUGUAAGUUGCCUCUGAUGGCGGAUCACGGACACGUAAGCGAAGUUUAAGGUAAGGCACUUUUCUUAAUUAUAUGGAUGCUGACUUUUCUAGCUUGGAAAGCAUUUCUUGUUCUUUGUUUUCUCAGAUCAGAAGUGGACUUGCAUCAGAGAACUCCAAUAUGUGGACACCUGUUCAUCUGUUGCGUGCUGGCAAGUCUACCAAGGGCCAUUUAGUUGGUGAAAAUAUUUAGUUAGGUUAACAAUUUCGUUUGUAUUUGAUAAUUAUUAUCCAUUCAUAGACUAACUUGACUCAAAAGAUUCGUCUCGCAAAUUAAAAACGAACUAUAUAAUUAGUUAUUUUUUAUCUAUAUUUAAUACCAAAGGCCGUAAGAUUCGAUGUGACGGAAAAUCUUGAAAACUUUGCAAAUUUUUUCAUAAACUAAACAGCCCCCAAGAUUUCAAUCCAUGCAAAAAAAAGAAAUGUUUUUAAAAAAAGCUUCCCAAUUAACCUGUGUAUCAUCGAUCAUAUGAUGCACGAAAACUUAGGCCUUGUUUAGAUGUGAAAACUUUUUAGAUUUCAUCACUGUAGCACUUUCGUUUGUUUGUAGCAAAUAUUGUUCAAUCAUAGACUAACUAGGGUGAUUCGUCUCGUAAUUUAUAGGCAAACUGUGUAAUUAGUUUUUAUUUUCGUAUAUAUUUAGUGAUUCAUGCAUGUGCCGCAAGAUUCGAUGUGACGGAAAAUCUUGAAAAUUUUUUGGAUUUUGGUGGGAACUAAACAAGGCCUUAAGUUUCAUUUAAUAAAUUAAUGAAACCGAUUUCCAUUUCAAUCAUUAAAAUGUCUGCGAGACUGAUAUUCUGGAGGGAUGGAAAUGGAAAUGAAAAUUUUCAUUUAUCAGAACAAAAGUGAUAACUGCUUUAUGACUUAUCUGAAAAUUACAGUAUAGCAUAAAGCUGCAGCUGUUACUGCGUUUUCAGCUCAAGGCUAGCUGCAGUGUUUUGCAGCAGUAAAAAAUCUGAUGCAGCUACAGUGUCGAUAAAUUUUUAUAUUUUUUUUACUUAGCACAGUAUUGCACUUGCUAACUAAAUUGAGAAGUAUGGGGAAAUUACGACUGUGCACGAAUUGUCUACAAAUAUAAAUCAUUAUUAUUGAUCUCAGCCCAUUUCAAGAGAUCAUGGCAACAAAAUAUUACACGUUUUUAACCACACAAAAAUUGUUUUUUACGACCGUGUCUAGCACGUAUUUUACUGAGAGGAAGUAGAUAAACAUUUCAAGCUACCCAUCAACUGUAAGUGCCGAGCUUACCAAAAGAAGAGGAAGACUAAAAACAUAUAAUAAUAAAAAAGAAAAGAGAACCAAAAGAAACUAAGCAUUACAAUAAACUUAGGGCUACCUCGAGUGCGGGAGACUUGCCAAUGCCCAUUCAAAGGUCACCUAGGCUACAGACUCCUUUAACCACUGAAAGAUCCAAAUGGCUAAAGAGGGGUGAAUAGCCUAUUUAAAAAUCUCUACAAACUCAACUAGACAAGUUGAUUAGUAAAACAAAUGACGAAUCUAUUCUAGCACUAGCUCAACUAAGCUAUGCAAGCCACCUAAACAAGUCUAGCAAGAAGGCUAAACACUAAGUUACAACAACAAAGCACAAUUAAAGUUAACUACACUCCUAUGUAAGAAGACUAAGCUACACAAGCUGUACAACAAGUAAGAAGUGCAAGAAAGUAAUGGAGUGGAGUGUGAUUGUUAUACCAACGUUGUAGAGUAGAGAUAUAUCCAAUCGAUUACUCACAAUCACAAUCACAAUCACAAAGAGAAUCCUCGGCAAGAGAUGACACAAGAUUUUUUACCGAGGUUCACUUGCUUUCCGGCAAGCUAAUCCUCGUUGUGGCGAUACACCUACUUGAUGGAUCACGAGCUAAUUGGCAAUCCAAAGCCAAACCCUCAGCGGGUGCCGCACAUCCACUCACAAGAUGAGGAUCCUCCAAGCCACGAGCAAUUCACUAGAGUAGCCAAUUGCGAUCUCCCGUGGGAAAGGCUCAAGAACCCCUCGAAAAUCACUUGGUGAGGCUCGAAACAAUCUCCAAUCACGAGCUCAACACCACCGCUGCUCCAAAGCCAUCUAGGGUGUCGGAAAACACCCAAGAGUAACAAGAAAUCCGCAACAAACUCAAGGAUCAAGUGCCACUAUAUGCAACUCUCAAUGCAAUGCACUUGAAUCUCACUAAGAUUAGCAAUCAAGCAAGGAGAUGAGUAGAGGGAAUGUUCUCUAGCUCAAUGUAUGCCUCAAGUAAUCAAAUGUGCAAGAGAGAAUCUCUCCAAGCCGGCCAACUUCUAGUUAUAAGCCUCCUCAACAAAUAGAGUCGUUGGCUCUUUUCACUGGGCUGAAAUCGGCGGCACCGGACGCUCAACAGGGAGCCACCGGACGCUCGACCCCCUGCGUCCGGUGCUCGGGAGUUUGCCAUGUGUUCACCUUUGUAUCUCGCACGUCGAUCUCUAACGGCUACGUGCGAACCACCGGACGCAACCAAGUGAGCACCGGACGCAUCCGGUACUCACUGGUCUCAUGCGCAGAGAGUUCUGCAAACUCUCGACCUCACCGGACUCAUGCGUAGAGAGGGUCGCAAAACGACUGCACACCGGACGCACCCUAAGCGUCCGGUGCUCUCAGUCAGAAACUUCCUACAGAUGUCAGGCCACACCGGACGCACGAACAGGGAAUACCCUGUGUCCGGUGCAGUGCGUCCGGUGCUUAACCCUAGUAGGGCUAUGCACUGACAACACACUGGACGCUAGAGACAGCGUCCGGUGCCUCCGUGCACUGCGUCCGGUGAGUCCCGCGUCUUCCCCAAAUUUCCCACCGACGCAAUAGAAAAUAUACACUUAAUUUUCUCAAAAGAGCCGAAUCCCGCCUCGCAAGCUCGGGGAAAGGGAGAGAGGAACCCAAACCCCUCUCAACCCUAGGAACUCCACCUCCUUUGUAAAAAGAGCUAACACCAACAAGUGUCCACCACCAAAGUGCAUGUGUGUUAGCUUUUCUCAAACAUUUUCAUCAAAUGAGUUAGAUUAGCACUUUACUAGAUUCUAAUGCAUAUGCUCAAGAUAUAAACCUAGUAGCACUUGAUUCGAGAGAUGACCGUGAUUUCCCCUCUUGAUAGUCGGCUAUCUAUCCUAAAUCCGAUCAAUCACUUCUCUACUCAACUUAGACCGGCAAAAGCAAAACCCUGGGGGGCUCAAAUGGCAAAACCCGCUGCAGAGAACUUCCCUUAGUGGAGAAGCCAGGCGAUCUGCCGUCCCUGAUCUCGAUCCGCCGCCGCUCGCCGUUCCUUGCUCCCUCUCCUGGCCGGCCCUCUCUCUCCUCCGCCUCAUCCUCCCGUCGCCGCCUCCUUAUUCCCUGCACCCUCUCCCUUUGCUUCCCUAUUGUCUCCUCCCCGAGUAGCCAUUGCUCCUUCAUCGUUCCCAGAUCUAGAUCUGCAUCCCGUCUGCCCCUUUGUUUCUCAGGCUGCGGUGCCUCGCGCAGCUUCUAAGUUUUCUCGUCCUUGUCGACCUCGCCAUCCUCUUCAUCGCGCUGAGCUCUGAGAUCAAGAUUCUGGCCACUAUCUUGGCCCUUUUGGGGGUAUGGAUAGCGGUGGUUGUCUUCAGCACGCUCUUCAGCUCGGCGCCCCAGAUUCUGCUCCGGUGGUGGACACGAUGCUUCUCGGCGACCUCACGUUCAACGACAUAUGGCAUACCUUCAGGCGCCGGGGGCGUCAUGACGUUCCUCACAUGGAACUGCCGGGGCUCAGGCGGGUCUCUCAACAGCAGUAAGAUGACCCAUCUCGCCCGUCUAAUUACCACUACUAAAUCCCAGGUAUGUUUUAUUUCUGAAACCAGAAACUCCACUAUUUCCCGUAUUUCCCUUAUUAAUAAAUUCAAUGCUGCUGAUGCUUUUGUGGUCCCUGCGAUAGGCCAAUCUGGCGGCCUUUGGUUGAUUUGGAAGCAGGACGUUAGUGUUAAUGUAGUUCAUCAAUCUCAGCACUUUAUCUUUGUGGUUUGUUAUAAUAAGUUAGAUAAUCAUCAAUUUGGUUUAAUCUGUAUGUGUGGUGAUCCCCAUCACCGCCUCUUAGAAAAUAUUUGGAUGCAAGUCUACUCUUUUGUGCAAGCUCAUAAUGAUAUGCCUAUGUUCUGCAUGGGGGAUAUGAAUGAAAUCAUGCAUCCUAAUGAAAAACAUGGGCCUGGAAGCCCUGAUAUGCGUCGUAUUAAUACUUUCUAGGAUGUUGUCAAGCAAUGUGGGUUUUUUGAUCUUGGGUAUAGCGGCCUGGCUUAUACCUGGACCAACAGAAGAUUCACUUCUUCCCCCACUUUUCAAAGAUUAGAUCGUUGCUUAGCAAAUGCUGAAUGGUGUAUGAUUUAUCCCCGUACUACUGUGUUUCAUUUACCAAUGUUAAUAAGUGAUCAUGCUCCUAUUCUUGCUUUGCUUAACUCCCAAAGACGUAAUACUGUUAAACCAUUUCGCUUUGAAAAUUGGUGGCUUUUGGAGGUGGAUUAUGACAGCACUGCUAAAAAAAGUUGGGCUAAAUCUGCUAAUAGAACCUUUCAUCAGAAAACUAGAUAUCUUGCUACUGACCUUAAAAACUGGCGCCGCAAAAAACCUAGAAUCGAUGAGCAAUUACAACGGGUCGAGGAUUGUAUUCUUCAAGCUCAAUCUCUUCACCCCUCGUUUCAAGAUUAUGAACUGUAGGUGCAGUUAGCUCGUCAGCAUCAACAACUACUUGAUAAAGACGAACAAUUCCAUCUUCAGAGAGCUAAAAAGGAUUGGGCUAUGCAUGGUGACCGUAACACAAGAUUCUUCCAUCAAGCGAUAAUAAAGAGAACAAGGGAAGACAGGAUAACCUUUUUACAAAAUCCCGACGGUACUGAAUCAACUACUCAUGAACAACUUGCAAAUACUCUUUCGAACUACUUUCAUGAUAUUUUUGCAGUCAAUGCCUCUACUAACCAAGUCCAUGCAGAUCUCUCUAUCACGACAGAACUCUCUCAGAUUCAGCAACCUCAUAUCCAGAACAAUCUUCAUAACCCUGAAGCUGCUAAUCGUUCCCAGCUAAGUCUAAAUCAAAUGAUGUACACUGACGCUAUUCCUACUAUGCAGGAAUUACACUCAAUUAUCAAGAGUAUGAGAAGCAAUGUGUCUCCCGGUCCAGAAGGACUCAACGCUGCAUUCUACAAAUCAGCCUGGCCCUAGAUUGGCCACGACAUUUAUAAACUGGUACAUGAUUUUUACACUCAAGCUUUCCUAACUCCUGAAAUCAAUCAAACUUAUUUAGUGCUCAUUCCUAAAAAGAUGCAUCCUACCAUUCCUCAAGAUUUUAGACCAAUAAGUCUCUGCAUUGUAGCUUAUAAAAUCAUAUCCAAAACUUUAGCUGAGAGACUUAAACCAUAUCUUCCUCAUCAUAUUGAUAACUCUCAAACUGCUUUUGUUAAAGAUAGACACAUAUCCACUAAUAUUAUUAUUUUUCAAGAAAUUAUUCACUCGUUCUCUCUCAGAUCAUGGACUGACACUGCUUUCCUCCUCAAAAUUGAUCUAGCUAAAGCUUUUGACAGGUUAAGAUGAGAUUUCAUCAUACGUGCUUUACAAAGACUACAGCUAUCUCCUACUUUUAUUAACCUAAUUCACCAAUGUAUCUCUACUGCCUCCUUCUCCAUUCUUUUAAAUGGUGAGCCCACUGUAGGUUUCAAAGCUACUAGAGGAAUCAGACAAGGGUGUCCUUUAACCCCUUACCUCUUUGUUGUAGCCAUCAAUGAACUUUCAAUCUCUCUCGAGCAGCAGCUUCAAAAUGAUCAACUUGCAGGAAUUAAACUGGGACCAGGCUGCCCUUCUAUACACUCAAUGCUCUUUGCAGAUGAUCUAAUUAUAUGCGGUCAGGCUAAUCUUCAUGAAGCUCAGACCAUCCACAGAACCCUCUAUGAUUUCUGUCACCAAUCAGGUCAGAUCCCUAACCUUAACAAAUCCUCUAUCUUAUUUAGUAGAAAUGUUCCGAACCAUAUAAAAAAUGAUAUUAGAGGUGUCUUUCGUGUUCCUGAUCUUCAACCUAACACCCUUCACUUGGGUCACCCUCUUAUUUUUAACCACAAAGACAGGAACAGAGCCUAUGCUUUCAUUAAAAAUAAAUUUCACACCAAAUUUACUACUGUCAAAGCCAAUAAACUUAACCAUGCUGGGAGAUUAACCUACAUUCAGUCUGUUCUUUCUUCAAUCCCUGUCUACUACAUGUCUACUAUUCUUUUCUCCAAGACUUUCAUUGAAGAAUUAACUGCUAUUAUUAAAAGAUUCUGGUGGUCAGGUAUUCAAGAAGAAAGCUCUACCAAACCUAUUCAUUUCAGGUCAUGGGAGGACAUAUGCCAAAACAAGAACAACGGCGACUUGGGUAUCAGGAAUUUGCACUUGGUCAACAAAAGUCUAAUUAUGAAUGCUGCUUAUAACAUAGUCACUAAUAAAAAUCCUUUACUCUCUGCAAUUAUUAAAGCCAAAUACUACCCUAACUCUUCUUUUUGGACAGUACCUAACUCUACAACCAAAUCAGCUUUUUGGUCCUCUGUUUUGCAGGUUAGAAAGGAUCUCUCCAGCAACGUCCAUUUGCAACUUCAUGAUGGUAACUCUUCAACCUGGUCCUCUCCAUGGUUUCCUUUAUGGAAUUCCAUCCAUGACCAUUUAAAACUACCAGUUACCACCAACCCCAUCCCUGCCCAAGCAAAAGACCUUUGGUACCCUAACACCCACGUUUGGAACAUUGAUCUUCUCAAUGCUACUUUCCAUACCCCUGCUGUUCAUCAAAUUAUUACUACUCCCACUGUUCCAUCGACCUCUCCUGACAUUCUUCGGUGGAACCCUGCUAAGGACGGCAUUUGCUCUACUAAAGCCAUCUAUAAUCAUCUUCAAGCUGCAAAUACAAUUACCCUUCCCGAUCGUGGAUCGCGUUGCAUCACUCCUCAAUGCAAAAGAAUCCUCUAUAGAGUCUGGCAUUCUAAAUCCAUUUCCCCUAUUAUCAAGACCUUCACUUGGAGACUCAUUCGUAGAGCUCUUGCUACUGCUGAACGAGCCUCGAGAUACUCCACCGACGGCAAUAGUAAUUGUGACAAAUGCAAUAUGAUUGAAACUGAUUCUCAUCUAUUUUUUCAUUGUACUCUUCCUACACAGGUUUGGCUAUCAUCUAACCCCUCCCUCAACACGGCGUCCUUACCUCAAGAAGAUGAUGGAAUUCAGCAUAUCCUCCAACUGAUCAUCACGGAUGCCACUCCUAAACUUCUUCUCUACAAAAUUCUCAUUACCCUGUGGUACAUCUGGAAAUCUAGAAAUGAUUACCACUUUCGCAGAAAAGAAUGGACUCCUAACCAGAUCAACAAGGCAAUAGCAAGUUACUUGGACCAUACACAACUUCACCCCCCUCAAGCCUCGCCUACCUUUAUGCAGUCUUCAGGUAUGAAUUCUCCUAUCUUGCAGGAACCAAGCUCUAACUUGGGAGGCAAUCCACAUAUUUGCCGCAAUCCAAUAGCUCUCCAAGGAUCAAGAUGCUAUGUGGAUGUCUCCACGAUGCCAAACUCCUAUUCCACAACUGCCUCUACUGCUAGCAUAGGAAUAUUUAUUCUCAAUUUUCAGGUUCAUCCAGCUCAAACCAUCUACAUCAAAGCCAAGUUGCAAAACUGCCAUUCGGUUCUCAUGGGUGAAGCUGCAGCAUUAGCUUUAGGAGCUACGAUAGUUCAAGCAAUGCAAAUAUCCUCCUGCACUUUCCUUUCAGAUUCUCAACAAUUGGUGCAGUUUCUUCACAGUGGCAACCAGAAUCAUCCCCCUCAUUGGAGGAUGAAACCAUAUACCCAAAUAUAUGCUAAUAUUACAGGAUCCAUGGAGGCCCCUCUAUUCAAGAUCAACAAAACCUACAACUCCACGGCAGAUGCUCUAGCCAAACAGGCGCAUGCCUCGACAUCUUCAAAGCUAGUUCAUAAUUGUAAUAGAUUGGCAUGUGGCUCCCUUUGUUCUAUCCCUCAGGCUCUACUAAUUGUAGACCUGUACAAUGUACACAUCAUUGCAGCUUCUUGCUGCUUUUAAUAUAAGGCUGCUUGUUCUUGUCAAAAAAAAGCAAAACCCUAUGUUUAUACCUUUGCCUUGAUCACUUUACUCCUCGUCUAUCACAUGAUCUCCACUUCAUGCUUCAUCCCUUUGUGAUCAUGUGGCCACCUUUCCAUGCCACCAUGCACCUUCAUCACAUGUAUUGUUAUGCCUAAUUCAAAUCACUUAAACACAAGGCAUUAGCAACUUGGUGUCAUUAAUUACCAAAACCAAACUUAGGCUUUCAACCACCCAUGUUGCGCUUGGCUCAGCAAGAAGCAUGUCAACCUCUGGGUGAAGUCGUCCAGGAACAUGUUGUCUGAAAAUAGAAUUUCGAAGGCUUCAUGCUUGGACUCGAAAGCACGGUUCACUAAAGAUGGACUCAUACUCCUGUGCACCUGCAGAAUCAACGGGCUAUACUGAAUCUGCGAGCGCUAACUUGAUUAUAAGAACUUAGGCAUUGUUUAGUUUCGAAAACUUUUUGGCUUUUGGGACUGUAGCACUUUUGUUUUUAUUUGACAAACAUUGUCCAAUUAUGGAGUAACUAGGCUUAAAAGAUUCAUCUCGCAAUUUACAGGUAAACUGUACAAUUAGUUUUUAUUUUUGUCUAUAUUUAGUGCUCUAUGUAUGUGCCGCAAGAUUCGAUGUGACGGAGAAUCUUGAAAAGUUUUUGGUUUUGAGGGUGAACUAAACAAGGCCUACUAUGCUUGAAGAGUCAGGUUGACAGGUUUAGCAGCUAAGCGGCUAAGCGAAUACUCCUCCUAGGUGCUCUAAUGCUGGGUUUGGCCUAAGACACCCUAAGGGUAGGUCUUUCUAGAAGCACAUAGGUUUAGAGAGCCAAGCAGGACAAGUCCCACCUGAUGAGAUUUGGCCGGGCUAUGUGGCAGUCCUAAAGGGUAUUUGGAUGUCAAGACUAAAAUUGUAUCCUUGCCAUAACUGUAAUUUACUUUUUAUUAUGCUGCGUGUGCGUGUGACACGCUAACAAAUCACACACAGCAUCAUAUUGGCUUGUCAUGUCACUGGGAUGACGAAUUGCAUCAAAGGAACGAAUGUGUGAUCCUCUGCAUCUGUCCAGGCCCCACCAAAGGAACGACGUGUCAAGAAACACGCGUGCGUCCGGUGUUUUGUAAACCGAUGGUUGUAAGAGAAAAGAAUUCAAAUUAUUACCAAAGACAAAAUUGGGAAAAAAUAAGCUUGUUUAGUUCUAAAAAAAAUUCAAGAUUUUUCGUCACAUCAAAUCAUUGGACACAUGUAUAGAACAUUAAAUACAGAUAAAAAAAUACUAAUUAUAUAGUUUGCUUGUAAUUUACUUGACGAAUCUUUUGAGCAUACUAGUUAGUUCAUGGUUAGACAAUAAUUAUCAAAUAUAAACAAAAACGUUAUAGUAGCUAAAUCUAAAAAUUUUCGCGAAACUAAGGCCUUGUUUAGUUUUCCCCAAAAGCUAUUUUUUUAAGAUUUCUCGUUAUAUCGAAUAUUAUGGCACAUGCAUGAAGCAUUAAAUAUAGGUAAAAUAUAACUAAUUACACAGUUUAUCUUUAAUUUACAAGACGAAUUUUUUAAAUUUAUUUAAUUCAUAAUUAGACAAUAAUUACUAAAUAAAAAUAAAAAUACUACACUAUCCAAAAACUUUUCAUGUCCUUCGACUAAAUGAGUCGCUAUCAUGGCAGCCGACCGAUUCAACGAACGCGUAGCAGGCAGCAGCUCUUCUGCUCGAGCUCCCUGCCCCGCUCUAGGAGUAGAGGAGAGGGGUACUCCUGAAACGGCCAAGGAGGGGAAACUAGAGGCGUGUUUGUGAGGGUGGCCCAGGUAGGCUUUGCGCCCGUGGGCUGCAAGUGCGCGAAGUGCGCGUGUUUGCGCACUUGGCCCAGGUUGCAGCCCGGCUGCGGGUGGCCAAAACCACCCUCUCCGCCUGGCUCCCGAGCGACGCCGCUAGGGUUCACUUCCCUGGAGCUCGGCUGCGCGCGGCGCUCGCUUGGCGAUUUUGGGCAGUUAUGGCGGGGCUCGGGGUGGCCGCGGCGGGCUCACGCGGGAAGAUGAAACUUCCUGGCGCCAUUUCACACCCUCCCCAACCCUCCUCUAUAAGUAGACCCGCAGCGGUCUCACUUCGUUCGUUCUCCUCUCUGAGCUCAAUCCACAUCUUCCUUGUGAGAGACCGGUGGCGGCGGCUCACUGCGUGGCGGUGGUGGUGUUCUCCUGUGGCUAGCGGUGAACUCCUUCGCCGUUCCGGGUCCUUGUUCGUGUGCUGCUGCUGGGACUCCGAGGAGGCGGUCUUCUACCUCUACUUCACCUUCUUCUUCCUCUCCGUCCGAUCUGCAACCUCUUCUUCCUCUACUGUCGGAUCUGCAGCCUCUAGUUGCAGUUCUCCUUCCUCCGUCGUCACACGACCCCGAGGCUAAGGUGAAAUCCUAAUUUUUUAUGUGUUCUGCUUUAUGAUGUUCAAUCUGCUAGGGUUUGCUUUCAAGAUUGUUAAUUUACUUUCGUAUCUGCUCUGUUUAGGGUAGAUGUAUGAGUUGGUAUUUGCUUGAGGUCUGUGAGAUGGUUUCUGUGAGUUGUGAGAUGUAUCUUUCAUUUCUGAGUUGGUAUGAAUGGUCGAUGAUGUAGUUCACAGUGUGCACUGGGAGGCAUUUUAUUUUGCAGCCGUGCAUAGAACAAAUUUAUCUUGAUUCAUGUUGCAAACAAGUUGAUGCAUAGCAGGGUAUGAUUAGCUGAACUAUUGUUAAUUGACAUGCAUGUAGAUGGAUCCCUCUUUGCGCCGGGAAAUGAUGCGUAGGCAGGCUGCUGCUAUGACUAUUGUGAUGGUGUCUUUUGUAAGCACUAGGCUAAAAAGGAAAAGUCCUGAACCUGAUACUGAGCCUGACCCCUUAUCCCCUUGGAUUAGAGAGGAAAAUGAGCUGCAUAGGCAGAGAACACUGGCACUUAUUUACAACUCCACUGAUGUAGAGUGCAUAUCCAUGCUUAGGAUGAGAAGAGCACCUUUUUUUUGCUCUCUGUGAUUUGCUUAGGCACAGGCAGUUGGUGACAGAUAGGGAGGGGGUGUCUGUUGAGGAGCAAGUAGCCAUGUUCCUUCAUAUGGUUGGUCACAACCAAAGGUUUAGGGUUGUAAGACAUUCUUUUAGGAGAUCCAUUGAGACAGUGCACAAGCAUUUUCAUGUGGUAUUGAAUGCUGUUGGUCAGCUUAGGAGUGAGGUCAUUAGGCCACCUAGCACAGCCACUCCUGCCAAGAUCCUUGGGAGUCCUAGAUGGAAUCCAUAUCUUAAGGUAAUUGUUUAGCUUGGGUUCAUUAUUUGUUUAUAAUUGCUGGAUGCACUUGUAUCUCACUGGUAUGGUUUAUAGGACUGCAUUGGUGCCAUUGAUGGCACCCAUGUGCUUGCUAGAGUUCCUAGGAACAUGCAGCAAGCUUUCAGGGGUAGGAAAAAGGACCCCACACAGAAUGUCAUGGUUGUUGUGGACUUUGAUCUCAAGUUCACUUAUGUAUUAGCUGGCUGGGAAGGGUCUGCUCAUGAUGCACUUAUUCUUUCCGAUGCCAUUGAGAGACAGGAUGGGUUCACUAUGCCCCAAGGUAAUUUGCACAAACUACAACCAAUUGUUCACCUGAUAGGUAAUAACAUAGAGUCACUUAGAGGCAUUUGUAUCCCAUUGUAGGUAAAUAUUACUUGGUGGAUGCUGGGUAUGCAUGCAAAAAUGGUUUCCUACCUCCAUACAGGGGUGUCAGGUACCAUUUGAGUGAGUUUGGGUUUAAUAGGCCUACCAAUGCCCAGGAGCUGUUCAAUCUACGACACUCAUCACUUAGAGUCACAGUGGAGAGGGCUAUAGGUGCACUGAAGAAUAGGUUCAGGAUUCUUGAUAACAAGCCAUUUCACAAGUAUAAGACCCAAGUAAAGCUUGUCAUUGACUGCUGCAUCAUACACAACUGGAUCUUGGGGUUUGGUACUGAUGAGCAUGUCCCUUCUGAGGUAGGCUUUACUGGUACUCUGCCUGACUCAAAUGAAUCUGAUAGCCAAGAACAAGACUCUGCACUCAUGGCUGCAAAGAGGGAUGCAAUCUGCAAUGUUAUGUGGGAGGGGAGGGGCACUCAUAGAAUUUGACACUUCAUUUGUGUCAGUUUUGUUUAGUCUACCCUGCUAUGAACUCUUGUUUGCAUUGUGAACAUGUAAUAAUCUAUGCUGAGACCUAUUUUUUAAUUAAUUUGUAUAUUAUUUGGUUUUUCUUUAUAUUUGCAAUGUUGUUUGGCUUUGUUGUGUAUAUUUUGGGUGCUUUGGUACACUUGGGCCACCCUGACUUGUUAAUGGCAAACACAGUUAUGUCUCCUGUUGAGAUUUCUGGGUUUGUGGGUGCUGCUGAUGUGCUGGAAGAGAUGAUCAGGAAUGGUUCAGAUGCUGCUGUUGUAGGUGGUGCUGAUGCUGCAGCACCUGCAAAUGGUGUUGCAGGUUCUGGUGCAGCUCCAGCAGCACCUGAUGCUGCUGCUGCCCCUACUGGUAGAGGGGGGCAAUGAGGUGGAAUAACAACACCUCUGGCUUUGUUCUGAGGAGGAUGUCCCAACUGUUGAGUGAUGGUAGCAGACCUGACAAAGUGUUUAAGGACAAGGAUGUAAACCUUGUUGCAAAAGCUAUGAAGGAGUAUUAUGGGGAAGUGGUAAGCCCAACUCAGGUGUACAACCACUUGAGGAAGUGGAGGCAGAAGUGGGCUAGAGUUGUUAAACUGAAGAAUCUUAGUGGGGCUUUGUGGGAUGCUGAUGCCAAUGCCAUCAUGCUUGAGCAGGAUCACUACCUUGGCCACUGCAAGGUAGUCCUUGACUUAUUCUCUAGGUUCUAAUAUUCUGUCUUUGCUGUUGGCUUCUCUAAUCCUAUGUGUAAUUCUGCCAGGACCACCCUAAGGAUGCAGAGUUCCUUAACAUCCCAAUUAGGUUUUACACUGAGAUGGAGUCCAUCUUUGGGGGAAACCUGGUGAAGCGCUCCUGGUAAACCAGGAACUCAAAUGUGAUACAAUACUAGUCCCAGGAGGCUAGUAACACAUUUAUUACAUCAGAUAAGUUUCAGCGCAGUAGUCUUGGAAAGCGUGGGCAAGGAAGGCACGCUAUAAUAAUAAGACACCAAAAUACAACACAGGUCCAAAGGACCCAGAAACAAACGAUAUCGCCAUCGAAUAUCUGACGAGUCCCAAUGCCACAGGCUUAGUUGGGUGCAGACACGACCUUACUCGAACGCCACUUCGGGAUCGAAGUUCGGAUCUUCCUCUGUUUAAUAAAGCAAGGGUGAGUACAAAGUACUCAGCAAAUCCAACCUUACCCUACGGAAGGGGUUAACAAUAUAUAUGCAUAUGGAUAAAUCAAGGAUGAGGCUUAGUUUUAUUUGCAUAAAGCUAUCUUUUUACACAUGCAAGGUUUCAUUUCACAAAUACUGUUGUAAAAGACCUCUUUUUCCACAUAUGAUAGUAUUUCUAAAAAAUGGGGGUUUGAUCACAAUUUUAAGUGUUGUUGAACCCUUGUUCCCACAACACAAUGGCAGUCAACCAUUUAUUUCCAAAAUCACACUCACUCACAUGCUUUCACUCAUCCCAACCAAUCUAGUUGUUGAAACCAAACCAUAACCCGUCCGAGACCGCGGACACGGCUAUCCAGAUAGAUUUACACUCUGCAGAGGUUGUACACUUUUCCCACAAGUAGGAUACCAUAACUUACACCGUCGUGCAAGCACAGAUCCAUCAAAGUCAUUACCCUCCAUAGCUAAGUAAUGGCGCUCACCACGGGAACACUAAGGCCACAUCUCAUGAUACCACAAUAAUUCACAAAGCUCUUUUCAUAUAUUUCCACAAUUUCACAUACAUCACUUAGUGUCCCGUUGCAUACCUGCCUCCAGGUGAUUGCCAUACUAACUAGAGGGAUUUAGACUAAGCCUUUCCCAUGCAAGGCGAGUGGUUGUACGAUAAAUGAGUUAGGCAAGAUGAAUCAUCAACUCAGUCCUUAAUCGAGACAAGGCGGAUAUCUUCACGCUUAACCCCGCAAGGUAUAAGCCACAACACCAGGGCAUCCCCAAAAGAGAUCCCAUCCGCCCCAUCUCUAUAGUAAUCACAUCUAUAACUUGUUCAUUAACCCUUUCAUAAUACCCACAAUUUAUUUUCACCACUCACACCUUUUACUUUUAAAAUCAUUAUAUUUGAAAAAAAAAUAUAGCGAUGAGUAUCCAGGAUGAGUAACAAGUCCUAAGCAUACUAAAUAAUAAUAUUUCUGUCAUAGCAUAUUAUUUGUUCCUAAGUUCGAACAAGACAAUUAUCGGGUAAUAUCAAUUCAAGGAUGGCUAUUCAACAGGUUUUAACUAAGCAGCGAAAAUACUUCGUACAUAUAUCGUACAUGCAAUAUUUAAAACGGCUUCUACGGGUUGUGUUUAAAAAUAGGAUCAAUAUGCAUCAAAGGGGAUCGGUUGGACUUGCCUCCGUCGGCGUCCUCGGCAAACUCCUCCUGACAGUCCGGGUCCUCGGCGUCAAACUUGCGGUACUCGUUUCCAACGUUCUCGUUUUCCGGCUCGUUCACUCCGUCAACUAAAAUACGCGACGAACGACACAGACAACAGGCACAGAUAAAUAAUCAUAUAAAUUCAAAUGAGCUCUAAAAAUCAUAAAAUUAAUAUGGAAGGUAGAUCAUGAUUUUAGAUGAAUUUAGGAAAAAGAAUUAUUAAAAUCAGAGUUAGCAUAUGAUAUUUGUGAAAUGGCCGGACUUUAAUCAUACGAAAAAGGCUAACGAUGAUUAAGGAAUGGAUGCUUUACGAGAUGAUUUUUGGCUGGUAGUGCAUGGUGCAUGCAUGUACUAUUUGGAGUUAAUGCUUAUGGCCCACGCAUGCAUGGUUAGAGAGAAAUUAGCAUGGGUCAUUAGAGCUCUUCUAUAUGUCAUGGUUGUAUUCGUGGAGUUCUUGGCAGUGAAUCAAUACAGACAAAUAUAAGGAGAAAUACAGGAAAAUACUACAGAAAGACAGAGAAGAGCAAGGAGAUGCUCAUGAGCUGUUCACCUCGUCUUGCGACGACAAUCGAGCUCGGCUUGUGCGUAUGGCCGUAUACGGUAUACGCGAAGUGAGAGUGAGUGAGCGAGUGAGUGAACGUGCUUCUCGGGUGGUGAGAGUGAGCACCCGAGGCUGGCUUUUUAUAGGCCAAAGCGCUCAGCUGCGUGCCAUUAAAAAUGCUACUGUAGCGCAUGGUCGGUGCCUAAUUUUGCAUGCACGAUGCAUGCAAAUGGACGGUGCCUAAUCACCGUGUCCUUGCAUGCAGGUGCAUGCAAAUGGACGGUGCAUGCUCGUCCUGCAUGCAUGCAUGCAUGAGAUAUAUAUUCGUGUAGGUGCACUGCUAUGUUUUCUUGCAUGUAAGCUUGCUGGUACUCGCUGUUAUUUGUGCGCGAAAAAUAUGGAUGGAUUAGAUGGAGAUACUAUAGAGCUCAAAUUAUUUUAUAGUUUUUGAAAUAUAUUUUGAAAAUAAUUUGUAAUGCGAGUGAUUUUUGAAUGUGAAUUUUUAGGAUGUUACACCUGGCCACUGGCAAGUUUGCUGUUGGCUCUGGUGAUUCCCAGGGACACCAUUUUGAUAGUUGUGCUGGUAAGGUUGAUGGUCCAACACUAACCCAGACCUACAGCAAGACUGAGAUAGCUGAGGGUAGCAAAGCCACUGACGUCCCUUCUACUGUUGUGGGUGGGAAGAGGAAGAGGGGACACUUCAGUGAGGAUGAGAUGCUCUUGCUGUCUAACAUGAGUGAUGUUGUGAACAAUGUGGCUCUACCUCUUAGAGAGACAGGGCCUGCCUAUGUUGAUGGGGAUCUGUACUCGGCUGUCAUGGAGAUGGGGGAUACACUGAAGAUUCUUUGAUGGCGGCCUACACCUUUCUCCUGGACAACAAGGCUCAGGCCAAAGGCUUUGUGAACAUGAGUGAUGGACAUAAGUCCAUCUGGCUAAGGACCUUCCUAGCCAAGAACUACUUUAUGUAGUUCCUGUUCAUUAUGGUCUACAUGUCUAGGAGGGGGUUAAGUGUUGAGAUGUAUAGUUCCUCCACCUCCCCUGAGCCACUCUCUUCUUCUUUUGACUCCAGCUGGGAUGUGGCUGUUGUAGUUCUUUUGUGCAGGCAGGUUGUAGGACUGAUUGCUGACCUUUUGGUGCGGAUUAGCUAAGAGGGUGGCUAACAAUUUGGGCCCUUAUAUAUUGGGCAGAACCUAUUAUUGUAAAACACUAUUAGCAGCCUCUGUUGGCUGUUGUUUAUUUCAUGCAUGUAUUCUGUUUACUUUGUGAUGUAGAGAUAAUUGUUUCUGUGCCAAUGAUGAGUAUUACUCUGAGGCUUGGGUUUCAUCUUUGGCAUGUGAUGACAAAUAAUUGUAUGAGGUGGCUAACCUGUUUUCCUUGUGUCAUUCAUCACAUCUGAAGGAACCAUAAACUUUACUUAGCAACAAUUGGGUCUAUGACUCAAGGUGAUGGCUACAAGUUUAUGGUCCUCCAGAUGCCAUGGGUGCCACAAAUGUUUGGAUUUUCCAUUAGAGCUACCAAUGAUUACUGAGGUGCCUUUACAUUUGGCCUAUGAUGACAUACAUAACAAUCUGAGGUGGCUUUACACAUGUAAUUGCUCUUGUUUUGUAAGGCUAGCAUUCAGUCAUGGUUAUCAUCAGGACAUGAGAUACAUCCAUCCCCAAUGCAACAGGUCUUGGUCUGACCACUUAAUGGCUGAGGAUGGAUGUAUCUCAUGGCCCCAUGGUACUCAUGAAACAGUUCUUUGGGAUCCACAAAGUUGCCACCAGUGAUGAUUGUCUUAAGAAUAAAUUGUGCAAAAUCAACAAGGUCUGAGGCCCCCUUUAUGUGCUUAUGUCCUAGCCUAUGAUGUCACAUGAUGUAGUAAUGAAGCAACAUAUGGUUGCGGCAUGGAAGAAUUUCCAUUUGGUUCAAACCAAACUGGAGUUCUUCAAUGCCGCAGUCAUAGUUGUUUCAAUUUGGUUCUUUAUGACUGAGGCUUAUUCAGUUCCAUUUCAAAGACUAGCAGAAUUGAAAUCUAAAUUGAUGUUCGGGUUUUUUUGAAGGAAGAUGACUUGGUAUGUUGUGUACAAGGGGUACAAGCCUGGAGUGUAUGCAGACUGGGCUGACUGCAAUGCACAGGUUGCUGGUUUUAAGAAGAACUGCUACCAGGGGUUUCCAACAAAGGAAGAGGCAGUAGCCUCUUUCUUAGAGUACAUGGGCUGUGAUGAAGAUGCCAUGGAAACCAAUCUGUUUCCCAAACAACAAGGCAUCACUGAGCCCAAGCAAGUUGUUGGUACAAUGAACAUCUUCCUUCCUAUAGCUAUAUCUCUGAUUGUGCUUUUGGUGGCCAUGCUUAUGUAUGUAUCUAAAUCUUGUUGCACUUGUCCUGCAAAUAAGUAGGUCCUGCAGCUGUUCCAUGGUGACCUGGUAUGUUGUGUACCAAGGGAGGAAGCUGAUGCAGCUUUUCUAGCUUUCAGAUUAAGUAUUGUAUGCUGAACUAAAUUAAUUGGAAUGGGCAAUGAUGUUAAAACUGAGGCCAAAUUUAGAUGUUGUAACAAGGAACAUUUCUGUGUGUGUUAUGUUUAUUUUGCUGCAUCUUUGCAUGCUUCAAUUCAAAACAUGUGAAUUGUUGUAUUUUGAUCAUGGGCCUGGCCGAGUUUCAUAUGUGCCAAACACAAUCUCCAUAAGGUAGUUGAGGUAGUUGCUCUGUUAGCUUGGCUCCCAAUUGCUACACAAACACCAGCUACUUUGGGCCAGGCUAGUUUCAUACAAUGACACAAACAAUAACACUUGCUCCAAACAAGCCUGGCUUGGCUGGGCCUAGGUCUGAUGGGCUAGCCAGGCUGGGCUGGUACACCCUCACAAACACGCCCUAGCUAGCUCCGGCUGGCAGUGUGUGGGCGUCAUCGGCACGCGUAGACAAGGACAUGGUGUGAGCUGCUUCUUCUUCUUCGUCAUCAUCUCUCGUGUCGCGUGGACAGAAUAUUGCAACCUGCACCUUCUACGUCUCUACAUCGAAAAUGGCUGCUGCAUACGUAGGAUUACUUCCUCUACCUAGCUAUCAGCUGAUGCUGCGAGAAAAAGGCGACUAUGGUAGAUCGAUGUUGUACCAUACCGUCCUACUCCUAGAUGACGACGUGCUUUGAAAAUAAUGUAUGCCCAUAGGAUGGAUUUCUCUGUUCCCGGCAAAGGUUUUCACUGCCGUUGGAUUUUUCUUGUCAUGUUUCCGCCUCUCGGACCUGCUAUCAACUAAUAUCCAUAAUUUCAACUCCAUCAGAAAUUCUGUUUAAUUAUUUGCAUAAGAAAAAGGUCUGCACCGCAAAAAAUUAAGAGAGUCUUUCUCAUGCACAAGCUCACUCGUGAGUGGAUUCAUAGGUCGUUUUCAGAAGCCAACACAAGCCAAGCCCUGCAAAAUCCUCCUUGAAUUUUAACCGGCGCGCCACGAUUCUGACUUUUCGGAGCUUCUGUCGGCCAAGCAACCUGCAUCACAAAGAAGCCUAUAUAUAUUUCUCUCUCGUGGUUGAGAUUUAUUAAUAAUUAUUACUCAAGUGAUUGCGAUGCCUGCUCUUCAUGUGGGGAGUUAAUCGUCGUUCUUAUAACAGUGGUAAACUAACACUGGAUCCUGGAUUAUGUAGGAGUACGGCGAAGAUGGUGGUGGUAUUGUCCACGUCAUGACUCGCACACACUCCAUGCUACCGCAACGAGAGAAUGAUAGAACAUGGAUAGAUUCAGUUCCUGGCAAGUGGAUCUCAUCCUGCAAGUGUGUCCUGUCCACCACACCGGGAGAAGCGUGCAUAGGUUCUCAUCUCUCCUCCAAUUUCAUUCUGCCUGGCAAGUACGUACGUACUCCGUCCAUCCAAAGGAAGAAUGCAACCAUGGAUUAUGUGCUGAUUAAAGUGGUUCACAUUUGACUAAGUUAGUAAAUAAUACUCAUGUACGUAUAUCGCUCCAAAUCAAUUUAUUAUGAAAAUACUUUUGUUAAUUAAUUUAAUGGUAAUUUUAUUAUAAGUAAUAUUUUUAUUUAUAAUUGGUUAAAAUUAUAAGAUACUCAAUCCAUCCUAAAUUAUAAGUCGUUUGACUUUUUUAAUAUCAAGUUUGACCGCUCGUUUUAUUCAAAGUUUUGUACAAAAUAUUACUUUUUUUUGUUGUGUAUUGGUUUAUUAAUAAAAGUUCUUCAAGAAUGACUUAAAAUUUAACUAUAUUUGCACAAAUUUUUUGAAUAAGACGAGUGGUUAAACUUGGUGUAAAAAAAGUCAGACGACUUACAAUUUGGGAUGGAGGGAGUACUAAAAUGUGACAGUUAUGCUAGAAUUACACUCUUAUUUGGACGGAGGGAGUACACGACUGCGUAGAUGAUAUAUUUGUCAGAAGUCAGAAUCAAUUGAUGUUGGCUUACUACUUUUCUGGCUCUUGAAAUUCGUUGCGUUUCUUCGCUCAAAAAAAAAUCGUUGCGUUUCCUUUUCUUAUUAGGGCUUGUUUAGAUUGGAGAUGAAAAAUUUUUGGAUUAUAUGUCGGAAGGAUGUCGGGAGGGGUUUUUAAAAACUAAUAAAAAAACAAAUUACAUAGCUCGUCAGAAAACUGCAAGACAAAUCUAUUAAGUAUAAUUAAUCUGUCAUUAGCAUAUGUGGGUUACUGUAGCACUUAAGGCUAAUCAUGGACUAACUAGGCUUAAAAGAUUCGUCUCGUGAUUUUUAACCAAACUGUGUAAUUAGUUUAUUUUUUUAUCUACAUUUAAUGUUCCAUGCAUGUGUCCAAAGAUUCGAUGUGAUGGAUGAAAAUUUUUUGGGUGGAAAACUAAACAGGGCCUUAUGCAGAAAUCGUUAACAAAAAUCAGGUUCGGUUUAAUUCUCCUAGUACUGGAUGUUGGCCAAUAAGAUUAACAAGGACGCUGAAAUCGAUGAGGAAUCAUAUAUGCACCUAGAGAGUAGAGAGACCUUUCAGUUUCAGGAGAGAGUUCUGUCCUUCAGAUGUUGCAACUUGAAGGCAAGGACAUAGAGAAAGUGCUUCAGGAAUCAGGAGAAAGUGCUUUCCAUUCCAUAAAUCCACUACACUACUCUGCUCGAGUCAUCCAACAUAAAGUCUACUCAAAUACUUGCUAGUUGCUACAUUGUCAUAUUCAGCCAAUUAGGUAUCGACUCUUAGCAAUCCGUAUUCUCAUUGAUGUAAGUUUUCUUUAAUUGCAGUGUUCUCCUCAACCAUAUAUAUCAAAUUUGACAAAGAUCUUCAAGAGAUAUCUUCACUCAAAAAAAUAUAUAUAUAUAUAAAGCUGAUGCACAGAGUAGGAUGAGCUGAAUUAAAUAUGUGCACAAACCAAAUCUCAUGUAAGAUGCCCCCUUUACUUGUCCGUGAGAUGAUGCUUUUGCUGACAUGAGGAACAGUAUUACCACUGCUCCUCCUAAUCAGGAUUAGGGCGCAUCCUUUUAAUACUCCUAGAUACAUAUCUUAUCCCAGAUUCUUCAACAAAACUUACCCAAGUGUCAAGUCCCUAACCUACCACCUGUUCUUUCCAGAUUGCUGUACCAGUGAUGCACAUAACAAGUCACAUCUGAUUCCAUUUACUACCAAAACCCUUCUUUGACAUUGUUUAGUUACUCCCAAAAGCUAAAAGCUUUUUAAGAUUCUUCGUCAUAUUAAAUCUUAUUAUACAUGGAACAUUAAAUACAGAUAAAAAUAACUAAUUAUAUAAUUUGUCUGUAAUUUGCGAGAUGAAUAUUUUAAGGCUAGUUAGUCCAUAAUUGAACAAUAAUUGUCACAUACAAACGAAAAUGUUAUAGUAGCCCGAAAAGUUUUGAACUAAACAAGGCCUUUCUACCCUAUCUUGCUGUCCCCUUUUUCCCCCAUAUUGAUUGGCCGGCUGGCUUUCCCUUCUUGGUAUUGCAACUUUGGCCUCUGCUGAAUUCUCAUCAUCUGGCCUGGGAUAGGAGAUGUGUAGUUGAGAAUGCAGUUGCCAUAUCUGGCACAGAUCUGACUUUGUCAAGGUGCAUGAUGUGCAGAGCAGACAUGGGGAAAAAGAUAGUAUUUUUCAUCUGUUGAGGUGACAAUUAGUUUUGUUCUUAAAGCUAUCUGGAUCGAUGAUCUGCAGCAUAUUUUCAAGCGGUUGUUCAGUUGCCUGUCUGUUCUGACCAAAUGGCGCAUUGCCACUGGACACAAAAGAAAACAGGAUUGCAUAAAAAAUCUGCUCCAGGGCGAGGGAAGAAGAGCAAAAUAUUGUGCUGGGAUGAUUCAACUUACAUGGUGAGAAACUCAGAACCCAUAAUAAUGCAAUACUCAGUGGACUAUCAUGUUCAGCAUUGACAAACAUGGAAAAAAACUCUGUCCUCAUAAGGAAACCAACUUGCAGCUCAUAAAUGGAAACACAAGUGCUUACCAAUUAUGGGCUGUAGCUGCAGUUAUUUAGUGGGUGUUUGGUUUGGGCUGCUAAAUUUUAGGCCCUGUUUGGUUCCACCAACUAAAUUUUAGCUAGCUAAAAUUAUUUUAGCUACUCUUGGGUGACUAAUGGAACUAAACUAUUUUAUCCCCUUUUAGUCAAUAUGUUUGGAACUUUAGCUACUAAAGUGACUAAAGUUUAGCUAGCUAAAAUUUAGUUGGUGGAACCAAACAGGUCUCUCCUAAAUGGUUUAGUCCCAUUUAGUCACUCCAGAGUUGCUAGAGGGGACUAAAGCUUAUUUAGUCAUAGUGUUUGGGUAAAAUGUGACUAAAUUUAGGAGCUCAUAGUUGAAAGUGCUGAAAUUUUAGCUCAAGAGAAGCGAAAUGAUGCUUUCUUUAUCUUAAAAAAUGGGCUGUGCCACGUUGAAGAAUGGAAAUGGCUUGUGGGAGCAUGGGCAUGUCGUGUAGGACACAAACGUCUCUGUUCUGCGCUUUUUUUCUUUUUCUUUAUCAAGAGUUUUUUGUCCAUGGAAAACCGGUUGAGACAACCGUGUGCCUUUCAUCCUUAUCUUCCCUGAAUUUGUGUCUUGUAUCCAUUUGGGACUUAAGAUUAGAUGACAAGACAUCCUUUCAUUUUUUUUCUUUGAUGAUUUGCAGAUAUACCAGCACCAAACGACCCAAGGUUAAGACUCGUACCCAAAGAACACAAGUGUGCAAGCGGCUGCGGUCACAAGUCACUACAACUUCGAAAUUAUGUCACACUAUGCAGUUUCUCUUGUAUGACCUGUUUUUUAACACGAUAAAAAUCCAACUUGCAACCUAUGACUUUACAUUGCAAUUCAAUUGUCAACCUUAACUACAAAUGGGCACUCCUAAACUGUUGAAACCGAAUUAUCAUUAUUUUUAUUCAUAUGAAGAAACUAGACAAAUUUGGUCCUCUAGCUUUUGAGCAUUUUGUGUUCGAAUUCGGUAUGGAUAUUAAAUAUCUAAAUUCAUAUACGGAUUAUUCAUUUAGUUUUUGAACCCCUUAUGGAUGGACACUUCUGUUUUACUCCAGUAGGUAAAUGACUCCACUUAUUAGCGUUUAUGGGCAUGUGAUGGGAGCACACUCAUGGAGAUAAAGACUAGUAUUGAGUGUGGUUUCCGCAGUUUGAUCCCACCAUCUUUCGUGAAACAUGUACACAGGCUUUUGAAUAAAAUAUGCCUUUCCUAAACAUUGGUAUACCUUGGAAAUGAAAAUGGUAAGAUGGUACUCACCUGUUCUAUUAAAAGUGUCAUUUUUUACUUUCAGAUUUCUAAUUUGACUGUUUGUUUUAUUCAAUUUUUUAUGCAAAUAGUAAAAUAAAUAAAUCAUUGUUAGAGUAUUUUUAUUGAUAAAACAAGUCAAAACAAAAUAUAAUAAUUAUACAAAAAAUUUUAAUAAGAUUAACGGUUAAACAAAAAGUUUGAAAGUAAAAAAUGACACUUUACAAUGGGACGGAGGCUUUUGGAGGUUGUUUGAAUCUAUAGGAACCUAACUAGUACUAUCUUUUUAUUUGGAUAGCUAGAUAGUUGAAGCAGGAUUCUUUGGAUCCAGUAAAGUGUCUCUUAGCAGUUCUCUAUUAGCUCGAUCUAAAUAGAGCUUUAAUAAUGAUAACUUGGCUUUGGAGAAGAAUCUAGAGAGUCUAUGCGUUCCAUAGAUUCCUAAUUGCGACACAAAUUGCAAGUUUUCACGGCCAACAUAACAAUUGGUCGAUGUGGUUGUCACUCAAUACGGCGGGGUUUCAGCUGGAGAGUGACAGUUUUACACCCUCGAAAAGACAAGUAAGAAAUUGCAGUUUUAUCCCAUUUCAAGGCAGACAGACGAGACGACUAGCAGACUUUGAGCACACACCUAAUUUUCCAUCAGCUACCAACUUUUUUUUCCUAUAUAUAAAAAUAAAAAUAAAAAAUGUGGAGAGCCAUGCCAUGCCACGCCACUGACGGUGCUGGAGCGCGGUUUUCUACGGUGGCCGCGUCAUGUUACACGCCUAUAUUCCCGGCGUCACCAACAGGUCACUCAUUACGUGCUCAAGGAUGGAAUGGACCGAGCGGCCUGCCAUGAAACCAUCUGUUUUUCGUCUACUCAAAUAUAAUGUCAUGGGCGUUUCAGAAUCAUUUCACUGGAGGGCAAAAUAAGAGGGAUCAUCUGGCUAUUUUCUUUCCCGACUAUAAAGUCACGCAGUACACCUAUGGUACCAUAAAUGUUUUGUUUUCAACAAAAUGAUUUUUUUUCCCGAAUGGGCGGACAAACCUUUACCGCUAUUUAGCGGAGACAACGAUCUUUUCAAUGAAAAAAAAAGAUUUACUACACAUAUCUUACAAAUACAUAAUUACAUAAUUAAGAAAAAUAUUAUAAGGAAUAGAAUUCAGGCCAAUGGGUGGGUUUAGGAUUGAGGUCUAAUAUAAGAAAAAUGCAUGGAUGCACACUUGCUACUCUAUUUGCACUAAUAAAGUUCUUAAUCUUAUAGUUAUCAAAUCUCGAAUAUCUCACUAGGCUCUUGUUUUCCCUUGCUUUCUAAUAUAUUUCAUCAGCUUAACAAAUAGGCAAGACAGGUGCAAUGGACGAGAUGUGGGUAUUUAUGGCCUUGUUUACUUCCCAGAAAAUUUUGCAAAAUUUUUCACAUUCUCCGUCACAUCGAAUCUUUAGACGCAUGCAUAGAAUAUUAAAUAUAGACAAAAAUAAAAACUAAUUGCACAGUUUGGUCGAAAUUGACGAGACGAAUCUUUUAAGCCUAGUUAGUACAUGAUUGGAUAAUAUUUGUCAAAUACAAACGAAAGUGCUACAGUACCUGUUUUGCAAAAUUUUUUGGAACUAAACAAGGCCA
rnacentral:lncRNA from 1 species